rnacentral:lncRNA from 1 species
AAUCAAGAUUUGUACAUCGUGAUUCAUCCUGGUUUGAUUAGAAUGAUGAAGAAGUUGUCAUAUUCCCAAACAGGAAAACUGGGUUCACCUUAUUUGAAAGUGGAAUAACUUCUUCAUCCUAAAUCCUAUAAUAUUGAUUCAACUUCCUAAUGAUUCUCCACUACUUUAUGUAACCAAAUCAGGCUUUGUACAUUGAGAUUUAUCUUGGUUUGAUUAUAAUGACGAAGAAGUUUUCAUAUUCCUAAACAGGAAAACUGGGUUCAGCUGAUUUGAAAGUGGGAUAACUUCUUCAUCCUAACUCAUAUGAGAUUUAUUCAACUUCCUGAUGAUUCUACACUACUUUAUGAAACCAAAUCAAGCUUUGUAAAUCGCGAUUCAUCCUGGUUUGAUUAGAAUGACGAAGAAGUUGUCAUAUUCUCAAACAGGGAAACCGGGAUCACCUAAUUUGAAAGUGGGAUAACAUCUUCAUCCUAACUCCUAUGACAUUUAUUCAACUUCCUGGUGAUUCUCCACUACUCUAUGUAUCCAAAUCAAGCUUCUUACAUCGCGAUUCAUCCUGGUUUGAUUAGAAUGACGAAGAAGUUGUCAUAUUCUCAAACAGGGAAACUAGGAUCACCUGAUUUGAAAGUGGGAUAACUUCUUCAUCCUAACUCCUAUGAGAUUUAUUCAACUUCCUGGUGAUUCGCCACUACUUUAUGUAUCCAAAUCACUGGUUUUGAUUAGAAUGACGAAGAAGUUGUCAUAUUCCCAAACAAGAAUUCGCGAUUUGUCCUGGUUUGAUUAGAAUGACGAAGAAGUUGUCAUAUUCCCAAACAGGAAAACUGGGUUCACCUGAUUUGAAAGUGAAAUAACUUCUUCAUCCUAACUCCUAUGAGAUUUAUUCAACCUCCUGGUGAUUCUCAACUACUUAAUGUAUCCAAAUCAAGCCUUGUACAUCUCGAUUCAUCCUUGUUUGAUUAGAAUGACGAAGAAGUUGUCAUAUUCCCAAACAGGAAAACUGAAAUCACCUGAUUUGACAGAGGGAUAACUUCUUCAUCCUAACUCCUAUGAUAUUGAUUCAACUUUUUGGUGAUUCUCCACUACUUUAUGUAUCCAAAUAGAGCUUUGUGCAUCGCAAUUCAUCCUUGUUAGAUUAUAAUGACGAAGAUGUUGUCAUAUUCUUAAACAGGAAAACUGGGUUCACCUGAUUUGAAAUUGAUAUACUUUCUUCAUCCUCACUUCUAUGAGAUUUAUUCAACUUCCAGGUGAUUCUCCACUACUUAAUGUAUCCAAAUCAAGCUUUGUACGUCUAGAUUCCUUCUGGUUUUAUUGAAUGACAAAGAAAUUGUCAUAUUCCAAACUGUGAAACUGGGAUCACUUGAUUUGAAAGUGGGAUAACUUCUUCAUCCUAACUCCUAUGAGAUUUAUUCAACUUCCUGGUGAUUCUCCAUUUUUUUAUGUAUCCAAAUCAAGGUUUGUUUAUCGCGAUUUAUCCUUUUUGUUAGAAUGAAGAAGUUGUCAUAUUCUCAAACUGGGAAACUGGGAUCACCUAAUUUGAAAGUGGGAUAACUUCUUCAUCCCAACUCCUAUGAGAUUUAUUCAACUUCCAUGUUAUUCGCCACUACUUUAUUUAUCUAAAUCAAGCGUCUUACCACACGAUUUAUCCUGGUUUGAUUAGAAUGACGAAAAAGUUGUCAUAUUCCCAAACAGGAAAACUGAAAUCACCUGAUUUGAAAGUGAGAUAACUUCUUCAUCCUAACUCCUAUGAUAUUGAUUCAACUUUUUGGUGAUUCUCCACUAUUUUAUGUAUCCAAAUCGAGCUUUGUGCAUCGCAAUUCAUCCUGGUUAGAUUAGAAUGACGAAGAAGUUGUCAUAUUCUUAAACAGGAAAACUGGGUUCACCUGAUUUGAAAUUGAUAUACUUCCUUCAUCCUAACUCCUAUGGGAUUUAUUAAACUUUCAGGAGAUUCUCCACUACUUAAUGUAUCCAAAUCAAGCUUUGUACAUCUAGAUUCAUCCUGGUUUUAUUAGAAUAACAAAGAAAUUGUCAUAUUCCAAACAGUGAAACUGAGAUCACUUGAUUUGAAAGUGGAAUAACUUCUUCAUCCUAACUCUUAUGAGAUUUAUUCAACUUCCAGGUGAUUCUCCACUACUUAAUGUAUCCAAAUCAAGCUUUGUACUUCUCGAUUCAUCCUGGUUUUAUUAGAAUGACAAAGAAAUUGUCAUAUUCCAAACAUGGAAACUGGGAUCACUUGAUUUGAAAGUGGGAUAACUUCUUCAUCCUAACUCCUAUGAGAUUUAUUCAACUUCCUGGUGAUUCUCCACUACUUUAUGUAUCCAAAUGAAGGUUUUUACAUCGCGAUUUAUCCUGGUUUGAUUAGAAUGACGAAGAAGUUGACAUAUUCCAAAACAGGAAAACUGGGUUCACCUGAUUUGAAAGUGAAAUAACUUCUUCAUCCUAACUCCUAAUAUUCCCAAACAGGGAAACUUGGUUCACCUGAUUUGAAAUUGGAAUAACUUCUUCAUCCAAAAUCCUAUAAUACUGAUUCAACUUCCUGGUGAAUCUCCACUACUUUAUGUAACCAAAUCAAGCUUUGUACAUUGAGAUUCAUUCUGGUUUGAUUAGAAUGACGAAGAAGUUGUCAUAUUCUUAAAUAGGAAAACUGGGUUCACCUGAUUUUGAAAGUGGAAUAACUUCAUCAUCCUAAAUCCUAUAAUAUUGAUUCAACUUCCUGGUGAUUUUCCACUACUUUAUGUAGCCAAAUCAAGCUUUGUACAUCGCGAUAUAUCCUGUUUUGAUUAGAAUGACGAAGAAGUUGUCAUAUUCCCAAACAGGAAAACUGGGUUUCGCUGAUUUGAAAGUGGGAUAACUUCUUCAGCCUAACUCCUAUGAGAUUUAUUCAACUUCCUGGUGAUUCUCCACUACAUUAUGUAUCCAAAUCAAGCUUUGUUUAUCGCGAUUCAUCCUGGUUAAAUUAGAAUGACAAAGAAGUUGUCAUAUUCUCAAACAGGAAAACUGAGAUCACCUAAUUUGAAAGUGGGGUAACUUCUUCAUCCUAACUCCUAUAAGAUUUAUUCAACUUCCUGGUGAUUCGCCACUACUUUAUGUAUCCAAAUCACUGGUUUUGAUUAGAAUGACGAAGAAGUUGUCAUAUUCCCAAACAGUGAAACUUGGAUCACUUGAUUUGAAAGUGGGAUAACUUCUUCAUCCUAACUCCUAUAAUAUUGAUGCAACUUCCUGGUGAUUCUCCACUACUUUAUGUAACCAAAUCAAGCUUUGUACAUUGAGAUUCAUUCUGGUUUGAUUAGAAUGACGAAGAAAUUGUCAUAUUCCCAAACAGGGAAACUUGGUUCACCUGAUUUGAAAUUGGAAUAACUUCUUCAUCCAAAAUCCUAUAAUACUGAUUCAACUUCCUGGUGAAUCUCCACUACUUUAUGUAACCAAAUCAGGCUUUGUACAUCGAGAUUUAUCUUGGUUUGUUUAUAAUGACGAAGAAGUUUUCAUAUUCCUAAACAGGAAAACUGGGUUCAGCUGAUUCGAAAGUGGGAUAACUUCUUCAUCCUAACUCAUAUGAGAUUUAUUCAUCUUCCUCGUGAUUCUCCACUACUCUAUGUAUCCAAAUCAAGCUUUGUACAUCGCUAUUCAUCCUGGUUUGAUUAGAAUGACGAAGAAGUUGUCAUAUUCUCAAACAGUGAAACUGGGAUCACCUAAUUUGAAAAUGGGAUAACAUCUUCAUCCUAACUCCUAUAACAUUUAUUCAACUUUCUGGUGAUUCUCCACUACUCUAUGUAUCCAAAUCAAGCUUCUUACAUCGCGAUUUAUCCUGGUUUAAUUAGAAUGACGAAGAAGUUGUCAUAUUCCCAAACAGGGAAACUGGGAUCACCUGAUUUGAAAGUGGGAUAACUUGUUCAUCCUAACUCCUAUAAUAUUUAUUGAACUUCCUGGUGAUUGUCCACUACUUUAUGUAACCAAAUCAUGCUUUGUUUAUCGCGAUUCAUCCUGGUUUAAUUAGAAUGACAAAGAAGUUGUCAUAUUCUCAAACAGGGAAACAUGGAUCACCUAAUUUGAAAGUGAGGUAACUUCUUCAUCCUAACUCCUAUGAUAUUUAUUCAACUUCCUGGUGAUUCUCCACUACUCUAUGUAUCCAAAUCAAGCUUCUUACAUCGCGAUUUAUCCUGGUUUAAUUAGAAUGACGAAGAAGUUGUCAUAUUCCCAAACAGAAAAACUGGGUUCACCUGAUUUGAAAGUGGAAUAACGUCUUCAUCCUAAAUCCUAUAAUAUUGAUUCAACUUCCUGGUGAUUCUCCACUACUUUAUGUAACCAAAUCAGGCUUAGUACAUCGAGAUUUAUCCUGGUUUGAUUAGAAUGACGAAGAAGUUGUCAGAUUUUUAAACAGGAAAACUGGGUUCAGCUGAUUUGAAAGUGGGAUAACUUCUUCAUUCUAACUCCUAUGAGAUUUAUUCAACUUCCUGGUGAUUCUCCACUACUUUAUGAAUCCAAAUCAAGGUUUGUUUAUCGAGAUUUAUCCUGGUUUGAUUAGAAUGGCGAAGAAGUUGUCAGAUUUUCAAACAGGUAAACUGGGAUCACUUUAUUUGAAAGUUGGAUAACUUCUUCAUCCUAACUCCUAUGAGAUUUAUUCAACUUCCUGUUGAUUCUCCACUACUUUAUGUAUCCAAAUCAAGCUUCUUACAUCGUGAUUUAUCCUGGUUUGAUUAGAAAGAUGAAGAAGAUGUCAUAUUCCCAAACAGGAUAACUAGAAUCACCUGAUUUGAAAGUGAGAUAACUUCUUCAUAAUAACUCCUAUGGUAUUGAUUCAACUUUUUGGUGAUUCUCCACAACUAUAUAACCAAAACAAGCUUUGUACAUCGCGAUUUAUCAUGGUUUGAUUAGAAUGACGAAGAAGUUGUGAUAUUCCCAAACAUGAAAACUAGGUUCACCGGAUUUGAAAGUGAGAUAACUUCUUGAUCCUAACUUCUAUAAAAUUUAUUCAACUUCCAGGUGAUACUCCACUGCUAAAUGUAUCCAAAUCUAGCUUUGUACAUCUCGAUUCUUCCUUGUUUGAUUUAGAAUGACAAAGAAAUUGUCAUAUUCCAAACAGGGAAACUGAGAUCACUUGAUUUUAAAGUGGGAUAACUUCUUCAUCCUAACUCCUAUGAUAUUUAUUCAAAUUCCUGGUGAUUCGCCACUACUUCAUGUAUCCAAAUCAAGUUUUGUACAUCGCGAUUCAUACUGGUUUUGAUUAGAAUGACGAAAAAGUUGUCAUAUUCCCAAACAGGAAAACUGGGUUCACCUGAUUUGAAAGUGGAAGUUAAUAACUUCAUCAUCCUAAAUCCUAUAAUAUUGAUUCAACUUCAUGGUGAUUUUCCACUACUUUAUGUAACCAAAUCAAGCUUUGUACAUCGCGAUAUAUCCUGGUUUGAUUAGAAUGACGAAGAAGUUGUCAUAUUCCCAAACAGGAAAACUGGGUUCACCUGAUUUGAAAGUGGAAUAACUUCUUCAUCCUAAAUCCUAUAAUAUUGAUUCAACUUCAUGGUGAUUUUCCACUACUUUAUGUAACCAAAUCAAGCUUUGUACAUCGCGAUAUAUCCUGGUUUGAUUAGAAUGACGAAGAAGUUGUCAUUUUCCCAAACAGGAAAACUGGGUUUGGCUGAUUUGAAAGUGGGAUAACUUCUUCAGCCUAACUCCUAUGAGAUUUAUUCAACUUCCUGGUGAUUCUCCACUACUUUAUGUAUCUAAAUCAAGCUUUGUUUAUCGCGAUUCAUCCUGGUUUAAUUAGAAUGACAAAGAAGUUGUCAUAUUCUCAAACAGGGAAACAUGGAUCACCUAAUUUGAAAGUGAGGUAACUUCUUCAUCCUAACUCCUACGACAUUUAUUCAACUUCCUGGUGAUUCUCCACUACUUUUUGUAUCCUAAUCAAGCUUUUUACAUCGCGAUUUAUCCUGGCUUGAUUAGAAUGACGAAGAAGUUGUCAUAUUCCCAAACAGGGAAACUUGGAUCAACUGAUUUGAAAGUGGGAUAACUUCUUCAUCCUAACUCCUAUAAUAUUGAUUCAACUUCCUGGUGAUUCUCCACUACUUUAUGUAAACAAAUCAAGCUUUGUACAUCGUGAUUCAUCCUGGUUUGAUUAGAAUGACGAAGAAGUUGUCAUAUUUCCAAACAGGAAAACUGGGUUCACCUGAUUUGAAAAUGGAAUAACUUCUUCAUCCAAAAUCAUAUACUAUUGAUUCAACUUCCUGGUGAUUUUCCACUACUUUAUGUAACCAAAUCAAGCUUUGUACAUCGCGAUAUAUCCUGGUUUGAUUAGAAUGACGAAGAAGUUGUCAUAUUCCGAAACAGGAAAACUGGGUUUGGGUUAUUUGAAAGUGGGAUAACUUCUUCACCCUAGCUCCUAUGAGAUUUAUUCAACUUCCUGGUGAUUCUCCACUACUUUAUGUAUCCAAAUCAAGCUUUGUUUAUCGAGAUUCAUCCUGGUUAAAUUAGAAUGACAAAGAAGUUGUCAUAUUCUCAAACAGGGAAAUUGGGAUCACCUAAUUUGAAAGUGGGGUAACUUCUUCAUCCUAACUCCUAUGACAUUUAUUCAACUUCCUGGUGAUUCUCCACUACUUUAUGUAACCAAAUAAAGCUUUGUACAUCGCGAUUUAUCAUGGUUUGAUUAGAAUGACGAAGAAGUUGUCAUAUUCCCAAACAGGGAAACUGGGAUCACCUGAUUUGAAAGUGAAAUAACUUCUUCAUCCUAACUACUAUGAGAUUUAUUCAACUUCCAGGUGAUUCUCCAAUCCUUAAUGUAUCCAAAUCAAACUUUGUACAUCUAGAUUCAUCCUGGUUUGAUUAGAAUGACAAAGAAAUUGUCAUAUUCCAAACAGGGAAACUGGGUUCACCUUAUUUGAAAGUUGGAUAACUUCUUCAUCCUAACUCCUAUGAGGUUUAUUCAACUUCCAGGUGAUUCUCCACUACUUAAUAUAUCCAAAUCAAGCUUUGUACAUGUCGAUUCAUCCUGGUUUUAUUAGAAUGACAAAGAAAUUGUCAUAUUCCAAACAGGGAAACUGGGUUCACCUUAUUUGAAAGUUGGAUAACUUCUUCAUCCUAACUCCUAUGAGAUUUAUUCAACUUCCUGGUGAUUCUCCACUACUUUAUGUAUCCAAAUCAAGCUUCUUACAUCGUGAUUUAUCCUUGUUUGAUUAGAAUGACGAAAAAGAUGUCAUAUUCCCAAACAGGAUAACUGGAAUCACCUGAUUUGAAAGUGAGAUAACUUCUUCAUCCUAACUCCUAUGGUAUUGAUUCAACUUUUUGGUGAUUCUCCACUACUUUAUGUAACCAAAUAAAGCUUUGUACAUCGCGAUUUAUCAUGGUUUGAUUAGAAUGACGAAGAAGUUGUCAUAUUCCCAAACAUGAAAACUAGGUUCACCGGAUUUGAAAGUGAGAUAACUUCUUGAUCCUACCUUCUAAGAGAUUUAUUCAACUUCCAGGUGAUACUCCACUGCUAAAUGUAUCCAAAUCAAGCUUUGUACAUCUCGAUUCUUCCUGGUUUGAUUUAGAAUGACAAAGAAAUUGUCAUAUUCCAAACAGGGAAACUGAGAUCACUUGAUUUGAAAGUGGGAUAACUUCUUCAUCCUAACUCCCAUGAUAUUUUUUUCAAAUUCCUGGUGAUUCGCCACUACUUUAUGUAUCUAAAUCAAGCUUUGUACAUCGCGAUUCAUACAGGUUUUGAUUAGAAUGACGAAAAAGUUGUCAUAUUCCCAAACAGGAAAACUGGUUCACCUGAUUUGAAAGUGAAAUAACUUCAUCAUCCUAAAUCCUAUAAUAUUGAUUCAACUUCCUGGUGAUUCUCCACUACUUUAUGUAUCCAAAUCAAGCUUCUUACAUCGUGAUUUAUCCUGGUUUGAUUAGAAAGAUGAUGAAGAUGUCAUAUUCCCAAAGAGGAUAACUGGAAUCACCUGAUUUGAAAGUGUGAUAACUUCUUCAUCAAUCCUGGUUUGAUUAGAAUGACGAAGAAGUUGUCAUAUUCCCAAACAUGAAAACUGGGUUCGGCUUAUUUGAAAGUGGGAUGACUUCUUCAUCCUAACUCCUAUGAGAUUUAUUCAACAUUCUGGUGAUUCUCCACUACUUUAUGUAUCCAAAUCAAGCUUUGUUUAUCGCGAUUCAUCCUGGUUUGAUUAGAAUGACAAAGAAGUUGUCAUAUUCUCAAACAGGGAAACUGGGAUCACCUAAUUUGAAAGUGGGAUAACUUCUUCAUCCUAACUCCUAUGACAUUUAUUCAACUUCUUGGUGAUUCUCCACUACUUUCUGUAUCAAAAUCAAGCUUCUUACAUCGCGAUUAUUCCUGGUUUGAUUUGAAUGACGAAGAAGUUGUCAUAUUCCCAAAUAGAGAAACUGGGAUCAUCUGAUUUGAAAGUAGAAUAACUUCUUCAUCCUAACUCCUAUAAUAUUGAUUCAACUUCCUGGUGAUUCUCCACUACUAUAUUUAACCAAAUCAAGCUUUGUACAUCGCGAUUCAUCCUGGUUUGAGAAUGACGAAGAAGUUUCCAUAUUCCAAAACAGGAAAACUGGGUUCACCUGAUUUGAAAGUGAAAUAACUUCUUCAUCCUAUUUCCUAUAAUAUUGAUUCAACUUCCUGGUGAUUCUCCACUACUUUAUGUAACCAAAUCAGGCUUUGUACAUCGCGAUUCAUCCUGGUUUGAGAAUGACGAAGAAGUUUCCAUAUUCCAAAACAGGAAAACUGGGUUCACCUGAUUUGAAAGUGAAAUAACUUCUUCAUCCUAUUUCCUAUAAUAUUGAUUCAACUUCCUGGUGAUUCUCCACUACUAUAUUUAACCAAAUCAAGCUUUGUACAUCGCGAUUCAUCCUGGUUUGAGAAUGACGUAUGAGAUUUAUUCAACAUCCUGGUGAUUCUCCACUACUUUAUGUACCUAAAUCAAGCUUUGUUUAUCGCGAUUCAUCCUGAUUUGAUUAGAAUGACGAAGAAGUUGUCAUAUUUUCAAACAGGGAAACUGGGAUCACCUAAUUUGAAAAUGGGAUAACUUCUUCAUCCUAACUCCUAUGACAUUUAUUCAACUCCCUGGUGAUUCUCCACUACUUUAUGUAUCCAAAUCUUGCUUCUUACAUCGCUAUUCAUCCUGGUUUGAUUAAAAUGACGAAUAAGUUGUCAUAUUCUCAAACCGGAAAACUUGGAUCACCUAAUUUGAAAGUGGGAUAACUUCGUCAUCCUAACUCCUAUGAGAUUUAUUCAACUUCCUGGUGAUUCUCCACUACUUUAUGUAUCCAAAUAAAGAUUUUUUAUCGCGAUUCAUCGUGGUUUGAUUAGAAUGACGAAGAAGUUGUCAUAUUCUCAAACAGGAAAACUGGGAUCACCUAAUUUGAAAGUAGGAUAACUUCUUCAUACUAACUCCAAUGACAUUUAUUCAUCUUCCUGGUGAUUCCCCACUACUAUAUUUAUCCAAGGCAAACUUCUUACAUCGUGAUUUAUCCUGGUUUGAUUAGAAUGACGAAGAAGUUGUCAUAUUCCCAAACAGGAAAACUGGAUUCAUCUUAUUUGAAAGUGGAAUAACUUCUUCAUCCUAAAUCCUAUCUUAUUUAUUCCACUUUCUGGUGAUUCUUCACUACUUUGUGUAUCCAAAUCAAGCUUCUUACAUCGCGAUUUAUCCUGGUUUGAUUAGAAUGACGAAGAAGUUUUCAUAUUCCUAAACAGGAAAACUGUGUUCAGCUGAUUUGAAAGUGGGAUAACUUCUUCAUCCUAACUCCUAUGAGAUUUAUUCAACUUCCUGGUGAUUCUCCACUACUUUAUAUAUCCAAAUCAUCUUUGUUUAUCGCGAUUCAUCCUGGUUUGAUUAGAAUGACGAAGAAGUUGUCAUAUUCUCAAACAGGGAAACUGGGAUCACCUAAUUUGAAAAUAGGAUAACUUCUUCAUCCUAACUCCUAUGACAUUUAUUCGUGUUCCUGGUGAUUCUCCACUACUUUAUGUAUCCAAAGCAAGCUUCUUACAUCGCGAUUUAUCCUAGUUUGAUUAGAAUGACGAAGAAGUUGUCAUAUUCCCAAACAGGAAAACUGGGUUCACCUGAUUUGAAAGUGAGAUAACUUCUUCAUCCUAACUCCUAUGAGAUUUAUUCAACUUCCCCUGAUUUGAAAGUCGAAUAACUUCUUCAUCCUAAAUCCUAUAAUAUUGAUUCAACUUCCUGGUGAUUCUCCACUACUUUAUGUAACCAAAUCAGGCUUUGUACAUCGAGAUUUAUCCUGGUUUGAUUAGAAUGACGAAGAAGUUGUCAUAUUCCUAAACAGGAAAACUGGGUUCAGCUGAUUUGAAAGUGGGAUAACUUCUUCAUCCAAGCUCCUAUGAGAUUUAUUCAACUUCCUGGUGAUUCUCCACUACUUUAUGUAUCCAAAUCAAGGUUUGUUUAUAGCGAUUCUUCCUGUUUUGAUUAGAAUGACGAAGAAGUUGUCAUAUUCUCAAACAGGGAAACUGGGAUCACCUAAUUUGAAAGUAGGAUAACUUCUUCAUCCUAACUCCUAUGAGAUUUAUUCAACUUCUUGGUGAUUCUCCACUACUUUAUGUAUCCAAAGCAAGUUUCUUACAUCGCGAUUUAUCCUGGUUUGAUUAGAAUGACGAAGAAGUUGUCAUAUUCCCAAACAGGGAAACUGGGAUCACCUAAUUUGAAAAUAGGAUAACUUCUUCAUCCUAACUCCUAUGACAUUUACCUGGGUUCACCUGAUCUGAAAGUGCAAUAACUUCUUCAUCCUAAAUCCUAUAAUAUUGAUUCAACUUCCUGGUGAUUCUCCACUACUUUAUGUAACCAAAUCAGGCUUUGGACAUCAAUAUUUAUCCUGGUUUGAUUUGAAUGACGAAGAAGUUGUCAUAUUGCUAAACAGGAAAACUGGGUUCAGCUGAUUUAAAAGUGGGAUAACUUCUUCAUCCUAACUCCUAUGAGAUUUAUUCAACUUCCAGGUGAUUCUCCACUACUUAAUGUAUUCAAAUCAAGCUUUGUACAUCUCGAUUCAUCCUAGUUUUAUUUGAAUGACAAAGAAAUUGUCACAUUCCAAACAGGGAAACUGGGAUCACUUGAUUUGAAAGUGGGAUAACUUCUUCAUCCUAACUCCUAUGAGAUUUAUUCAACUUCCUGGUGAUUCUCCACUACUUUAUGUAUCCAAAUCAAGGUUUGUUUAUCACGAUUUAUACUGGUUUGAUUAGAAUGGCGAAGAAGUUGUCAGAUUCUCAAACAGGUAAACUGGGAUCACCUUAUUUAAAAGUGGGAUAACUUCUUCAUCCAAACUCCUAUGACAUUUAUUCAACUUCCUGGUGAUUUUCCACUACUUUAUGUAUCAAAAUCAAGCUUCUUACAUCACGAUUUAUCCUGGCGAAGAAGUUGUCAUAUUCCCAAACAGGGAAACUGGGAUCACCUGAUUUGAAAGUGAGAUAACUUCUUCAUCCUAACUCCUAUAAUAUUGAUUCAACUUCCUGGUGAUUCUCCACUACUAUAUGUAACCAAAUCAAGCUUUGUACAUCGCGAUUCAUCCUGGUUUGAGAAUGACGAAGAAGUUGUCAUAUUCCCAAACAGGAAAACUGGGUUCACCUGAUUUGAAAGUGAAAUAACUUCUUCAUCCUAAAUCCUAUAUUAUUGAUUCAACUUCCUGGUGAUUCUUCACUACUUUAUGUAACCAAAUCAGGCUUUGUACAUCGAGAUAUAUCCUGGUUUGAUUAGAAUGACGAAGAAGUUGUCAUAUUCCUAAACAGGAAAACUGGGUUCAGCUGAUUUGAAAGUGGGAUACCUUCGUCAUCCUAACUCCUAUGACAUUUAUUCAACUUCCUGGUGAUUCUCCACUACUUUAUGUAUCCAAAUAAAGAUUUUUUAUCGCGAUUCAUCGUGGUUUGAUUAGAAUGACGAAGAAGUUGUCAUAUUCUCAAACAGGAAAAUUGGGAUCACCUUAUUUGAAAGUAGGAUAACUUCUUCAUCCUAACUCCAAUGACAUUUAUUCAUCUUCCUAGUGAUUUCCCACUACUUUAUGUAUCCAAAGCAAGCUUCUUACAUCGCGAUUUAUCCUGGUUUGAUUAGAAUGACGAAGAAGUUGUCAUAUUCCCAAACAGGAAAACUGGAUUCACCUGAUUUGAAAGUGGAAUAACUUCUUCAUCCUAAAUCCUAAAAUAUUGAUUCAACUUCCUGGGGAUUCUCCACUACUUUAUGUAACCAAAUCAGGCUUUGUACAUCGAGAUUUAUCCUGGUUUGAUUAGAAUGGCGAAGAAGUUGUUAUAUUCCUAAACAGGAAAACUGAGUUCAGCUGAUUUGAAAGUGGGAUAACUUCUUCAUCCUAACUCCUAUUUUAUUUAUUCCACUUUCUGGUGAUUCUUCACUACUUUGUGUAUCAAAAUCAAGCUUCUUACAUCGCGAUUUAUCCGGGUUUGAUUAGAAUGACGAAGAAGUUGUCAUAUUCCUAAUUAGGAAAACUGGGUUCACCUGAUUUGAAAGUGGGAUAACUUCUUCAUCCUAACUCCUAUGAGAUUUAUUCAACUUCCUGGUGAUUCUCCACUACUUUAUUUAUCCAAAUAAAGCUUUGUUUAUCGCGAUUCAUCCUGGUUUGAUUAGAAUGACGAAGAAGUUGUCAUAUUCCCAAACAGAAAAAUUGGGUUCACCUGAUUUGAAAGUGAAAUAACUUCUUCAUCCUAACUCCUAUGAGAUUUAUUCAACUUCCUGGUGAUUCUCCACUACUUUAUGUAUCCAAAUCAAGCUUUUUUUAUCGUGAUUCAUCCUGGUUUUAUUAGAAUGACGAAGAAGUUGUCAUAUUCUCAAACAGGGAAACUGGGAUCACCUAAUUUGAGAGUAGGAUAACUUCUUCAUCCUAACUCCUAUGACAUUUAUUCAUCUUCCUGGUCAUUCUCCACUACUUUAUGUAUCACAAGCAAGCUUCUUACAUCACGAUUUAUCCUGGUUUGAUUAGAAUGACGAAGAAGUUGUCAUAUUCCCAAACAGUAAAACUGGGUUCACCUGAUUUGAAAGUUGAAUAACUUCUUCAUCCUAACUCCUAUGUUAUUUAUUCCACUUUCUGGUGAUUCUUCACUACUUUGUGUAUCAAAAUCAGGAUUUGUACAUCGAGAUUUAUUAGGGUUUGAUUAGAAUGACGAAGAAGUUGUCAUAUUCCUAAACAGGAAAACUGGGUUCAGCUGAUUUGAAAGUGGGAUAACUUCUUCAGCCUAACUCCUAUGAGAUUUAUUCAACUUCCUUGUGAUUCUCCACUACUUUAUGUAUCCAAAUCAAGCUUUGUUUAUCGAGAUUCAUCCUGGUUUAAUUUGAAUGACAAAGAAGUUGUCAUAUUCUCAAAUAGGGAAAUUGGGAUCACCUGAUUUGAAAGUGGGGUAACUUCUUCAUCCUAACUCCUAUGAGAUUUAUUCAACUUCCUGGUGAUUCUCCACUACUUUAUGUAUCCAAAUCAAGCUUUGUUUAUCGCGAUUCAUCCUGGUUUGAUUAGAUUGACGAAAAAGUUGUCAUAUUCUCAAACAGGUAAACUGGGAUCACCUAAUUUGAAAGUAGGAUAACUUCUUCAUCCUAACUCCUAUGAGAUUUAUUCAUCUUCCUCGUGAUUCUCCACUACUUUAUGUAUCCAAAGCAAGCUUCUUACAUCGCGAUUUAUCCUGGUUUGAAAGUGGGAUAAUUUCUUCAUCCUAACUCCUAUAAUAUUGAUUCAACUUCCUGGUGAUUCUCCACUACUUUAUGUAUACAAAUCAAGCUUUGUUUAUCGCGAUUCAUCCUGGUUUGAUUAGAUUGACGAAAAAGUUGUCAUAUUCUCAAACAGGGAAACUCUUGAAUAACUUCUUCAUCCUAAAUCCUAUAAUAUUUAUUCAACUUCCUGGUGAUUCUCCACUACUUAUGUAACCAAAUCAGGCUUUGUACAUCGAGAUUUAUCCUGGUUUGAUUAGAAUGACGAAGAACUUGUCAUAUUCCUAAAAAGGAAAAUUGGGUUCAGCUGAUUUGAAAGUGGGAUAACUUUUUCAUCCUAACUCCUAUGAGAUUUAUUCAACUUCUGGUGAUUCUCCAUUACUUUAUGUAUCCAAAUCAAGCUUUGCUUAUCGCGAUUCAUCCUGGUUUGAUUAGAUUGACGAAAAAGUUGUCAUAUUCUCAAACAGGGAAACUGGGAUCACCUAAGUUGAAAGUAGGACAACUUCUUCAUCCUAACUCCUAUGAGAUUUAUUCAUCUUCCUGGUGAUUCUCCACUACUUUAUGUAUCCAAAGCAAGCUUCUUCCAUCACGAUUUACCCUGGUUUGAUUAGAAUGACGAAGAAGUUGUCAUAUUCCCAAACAAGAAAACUGGAAUAACCUGAUUUGAAAGUGAGAUAACUUCUUAAUCCUAAAUCCUAUAAUAUUGAUUCAACUUCCUGGUGAUUCUCCACUACUUUAUGUAACCAAAGCAAGCUUCUUACAUCGCGAUUUAUCCUGGUUUGAUUAGAAUGACGAAGAAGUUGUCAUAUUCCCAAACAAGAAAACUGGAAUAACCUGAUUUGAAAGUGAGAUAACUUCUUAAUCCUAAAUCCUAUAAUAUUGAUUCAACUUCCUGGUGAUUCUCCACUACUUAUGUAACCAAAUCAGGCUUUGUACAUCGAGAUUUAUCCUGGUUUGAUUAGAAUGACGAAGAACUUGUCAUAUUCCUAAAAAGGAAAAUUGGGUUCAGCUGAUUUGAAAGUGGGAUAACUUUUUCAUCCUAACUCCUAUGAGAUUUAUUCAACUUCCUGGUGAUUCUCCACAACUUUAUGUAUCCAAAUCAAGCUAUCUUACAUCGUGAUUUAUCCUGGUUUGAUUAGAAUGACGAAGAAGAUGUCAUAUUCCCAAACAUGAUAACUGGAAUCACCUGAUUUGAAAGUGAGAUAACUUCUUCAUCUUAACUCCUAUGGUAUUUAUUCAACUUUUUGGUGAUUCUCCACUACUUUAUGUAACCAAAUCAUGCUUUGUACAUCGCGAUUUAUCAUGGUUUGACUAGAAUGACGAAGAAGUUGUCAUAUUCCCAAACAUGAAAACUGGGUUCAGCGGAUUUGAAAGUGAGAUAACUUUUUUAUCCUACCUUCUAUGAGAUUUAUUCAACUUCCAGGUGAUACUCCUCUGCUAAAUGUAUCCAAAUCAGCUUUUGUACAUCUCGAUUAUUCCUGGUUUGAUUUAGAAUGACAAAGAAAUUGUCAUAUUCCAAAUAGGGAAACUGAGAUCACUUGAUUUGAAAGUGGGAUAACUUCUUCAUCCUAACUCCUAUGAUAUUUAUUCAAGUUCCUGGUGAUUCGCCACUACUUUAUGUAUCCAAAUCAAGCUUUGUACAUCGCUAUUCAUACUGGUUUUGAUUAGAAUGACGAAAAAGUUGUCAUAUUCCCAAACAGGAAAACUGGGUUCACCUGAUUUGAAAGUGGAAUAACUUCAUCAUCCUAAAUCCUAUAAUAUUGAUUCAACUUCUUCACCUGAUUUGAAAGUGGAAUAACUUCAUCAUCCUAAAUCCUAUAAUAUUGAUUCAACUUCCUGGUGAUUCUCCACUACUUUAUGUAACCAAAUAAAGCUUUGUACAUCGCGAUUUAGCCUGGUUUGAUUAGAAUGACGAAGAAGUUGUUAUAUUCCCAAACAUGAAAACUGGGUUCGGCUGAUUUGAAAGUGGGAUGACUUCUUCAUCCUAACUCCUAUGUGAUUUAUUCAACUUUCUGGUGAUUCUCCACUACUUUAAGUAUCCAAAUCAAGCUUUGUUUACCGCGAUUCAUCCUGGUUUGAUUAGAAUGACAAAGAAGUUGUCAUAUUCUCAAACAGGGAAACUUGGAUCACCUAAUUUGAAAGUGGGAUAACUUCUUCAUCCUAACUCCUACGACAUUUAUUCAACUUUCUGGUGAUUUUCCACUACUUUAUGUAUCCUAAUCAAGCUUUUUACAUCGUGAUUUAUCCUGGUUUGAUUAAAAUGACGAAGAAGUUGUUAUAUUCCCAAACAGGGAAACUGGGAUCACCUGAUUUGAAACGGGGAUAACUUCUUCAUCCUAACUCCUAUAAUAUUGAUUCAACUUCCUGCUGAUUUUACACUACUUUAUGUAACCAAAUCAAGCAUUUUACAUCGCGAUAUAUCCUGGUUUGAUUAGAAUGACGAAGAAGUUGUCAUAUUCCCAAACAGGAAAACUGGGUUUGGGUGAUUUGAAAGUGGGAUAACUUCUUCAGCCUAACUCCUAUCAGAUUUAUUCAACUUCCUGGUGAUUCUCCACUACUUUAUGUAUCCAAAUCAAGCUUUGUUUAUCGCGAUUCAUCCUGGUUUAAUUAGAAUGACAAAGAAGUUGUCAUAUACUCAAACAGGAAAAUUGUGAUCACCUAAUUUGAAAGUGGGGUAACUUCUUCAUCCUAACUCCUAUGAUAUUUAUUCAACUUCCUGGUGAUUCUACACUACUUUAUGUAUCCUAAUCAAGCUUCUUACAUCGCGAUGUAUCCUGGUUUGAUUAGAAUGACGAAGAAGUUGUCAUAUUCCCAAACAGGGAAACUGGGAUCACCUGAUUUGAAAGUGGGAUAACUUCUUCAUCCUAACUCCUAUAAUAUUGAUUCAACUUCCUGGGGAUUCUCCACUACUUUAUGUAACCAAAUCAAGCUUUGUACAAAGUGGGAUAACUUCUUCAUCCUAACUCCUAUAAUAUUGAUUCAACUUCCUGGUGAUUCUCCACUACUUUAUGUAUCCAAAUGAAGGUUCUUACAUCGUGAUUCAUCCUGGUUUGAUUAUAAUGACGACGAAGUUGUCAUAUUCCCAAAAAUGAAAAGUGGGAUCAGCUGAUUUGAAAGUGGGAUAACUUCUUCAUCCUAACUCCUAUGAGAUUUAUUCAACUUUCAGGUGAUUCUACACUACUUUAUUUAUCCAAAUCAAGCUUUGUACAUCUCGAUUCAUCCUGGUUUUAUUAGAAUGACAAAGAAAUUGUCAUAUUCCAAACAGGGAAACUGGGAUCACUUGAUUUGAAAGUGGGAUAACUUCUUCAGCCUAACUCCUAUGAGAUUUAUUCAACUUCCUGGUGAUUCUCCACUACUUUAUGUAUCCAAAUGAAGGUUUUUACAUCGCGAUUUAUCCUGGUUUGAUUAGAAUGACGAAGAAGUUGUCAUAUUCUCAAACAGGGAAACUGGGAUCACCUNNNNNNNNNNNNNNNNNNNNNNNNNNNNNNNNNNNNNNNNNNNNNNNAUCCUGGUUUGAUUAGAAUGACGAAGAAGUUGUCAUAUUCUCAAACUGGGAAACUGGGAUCACCUAAUUUGAAAGUGGGAUAACAACUUCAUCCUAACUCCUAUGACAUUUAUUCAACUUCCUGGUGAUUCUCCACUACUCUAUGUAUCCAAAUCAAGUUUCUGACAUCGCGAUUCAUCCUCGUUUGAUUAGAAUGACGAAGAAGUUGUCAUAUUCUCAAACAGGGAAACUAGGAUCACCAGAUUUGAAAGUGGGAUAACUUGUUCAUCCUAACUCCUAUAAUAUUUAUUCAACUUCCUGGUGAUUCUCCACUACUUUAUGUAACCAAAUCAAGCUUUGUACAUCGUGAUUCAUCCUGGUUUGAUUAGAAUGACGAAGAAGUUGUCAUAUUCCCAAACAGGAAAAAUGGGUUCACCUGAUAAGGCUUUGUACAUCGCGAUUUUUCCUGGUUUGAUUAGAAUGACGAAGAAGUUGUCAUAUUCCCAAACAGGAAAACUGGGUUCACCUGAUUUGAAAGUGAAAUAACUUCUUCAUCCUAACUCCUAUGAGAUUUAUUCAACUUCCCGGUGAUUCUCAACUACUUAAUGUAUCCAAAUCAAGCAUUGUACAUCUCGAUUCAUCUUUGUUUGAUUAGAAUGACGAAGAAGUUGUCAUAUUCCCAAAAAGGAAAACUGAAAUCACCUGAUUUGAAAGUGGGAUAACUUCUUCAUCCUAACUCCUAUGAUAUUGAUUCAACUUUUUGGUGAUUCUCCACUACUUUAUGUAUCCAAAUCGAGCUUUGUGCAUCGCAAUUCAUCCUGGUUAGACUAGAAUGACGAAGAAGUUGUCAUAUUCUCAAACCGGGAAACUAGGAUCACCUAAUUUGAAAGUGGGAUAACAUCUUCAUCCUAACUCCUAUAACAUUUAUUCAACUUCCUGGUGAUUCUCCCCUACUCUAUGUAUCCAAAUCAAGCUUCUUACAUCGCGAUUUAUCCUGGUUUGAUAAGAAUGACGAAGAAGUUGUCAUAUUCCCAAACAGUGAAACAGGGAUCACUUGAUUUGAAAGUGGGAUAACUUCUUCAUCCUAACUCGUAUAAUAUUGAUUCAACUUGCUGGUGAUUCUCAACUACUUUAUGUAACCAAAUCAAGCUUUGUACAUCGAUAUUCAUUCUGGUUUGAUUAGAAUGACGAAGAAGUUGUCAUAUUCCCAAACAGGGAAACUAGGAUCACCUGAUUUGAAAGUGGGAUAACUUGUUCAUCCUAACUCCUAUAAUAUUUAUUGAACUUCAUGGUGAUUGUCCACUACUUUAUGUAACCAAAUCAUGUUUUGUUUAUCGCGAUUCAUCCUGGUUUGAUUAGAAUGACGAAGAAGCUGUCAUAUUCUCAAACAGGGAAACUGGGAUCACCUAAUUUGAAAGUAGGAUAACUUCUUCAUCCUAACUCCUAUGAUAUUGAUUCAACUUUUUGGUGAUUCUCCACUACUUUAUGUAUCCAAAUCGAGCUUUGUGCAUCGCAAUUCAUCACACCUGAUUUGAAAGAGACAUAACUUUUUCAUCCUAACUCCUAUGAGAUUUAUUCAACUUCCAGGUGAUUCUCCACUAUUUAAUGUAUCCAAAUCAAGCUUUGUACAUCUCGAUUCAUCCUGGUUUUAUUAGAAUGACAAAGAAAUUGUCAUAUUCCAAACAGCGAAACUGGGAUCACUUGAUUUUAAAGUGGGAUAACUUCUUCAUCCUAACUCCUAUGAAAUUUAUUCAACUUCCUGGUGAUUCUCCAUUUUUUUAUGUAUCCAAAUCAAGGUUUGUUUAUCGCGAUUUAUCCUGGCUUGGUUAGAAUGGCGAAGAAGUUGUCAUAUUCUCAAACUGGGAAACUGGGAUCACCUAAUUUGAAAGUGGGAUAACUUCUUCAUCCCAACUCCUAUGAGAUUUAUUCAACUUCCAUGUUAUUCUCCACUACUUUAUUUAUCAAAAUCAAGCUUCUUACCACACGAUUUAUCCUGGUUUGAAUAGAAUGACAAAGAAGUUUUCAUAUUCCCAAACAGGAAAAAUUGAAUCACCUGAUUUGAAAGUGGGAUAACUUCUCCAUCCUAACUCCUAUAAUAUUGAUUCAUCUUUUUGGUGAUUCUCCACUACUUUAUGUAUCCAAAUCAAGCUUUGUACACCACAAUUAAUCCUGGUUUGAUUAGAAUGACAAAGAAGUUGUCAUAUUCCCAAACAGGAAAACUGGGUCACCUGAUUUGAAAGAGACAUAACUUUUUCAUCCUAACUCCUAUGAGAUUUAUUCAACUUCCAGGUGAUUCUCCACUAUUUAAUGUAUCCAAAUCAAGCUUUGUACAUCUCGAUUCAUCCUGGUUUUAUUAGAAUGACAAAGAAAUUGUCAUAUUCCAAACAGGGAAACUGGGAUCACUUGAUUUUAAAGUGGGAUAACUUCUUCAUCCUAACUCCUAUCAGAUUUAUUCAAAUUAUUGGUGAUUCUCCACUACUUUAUGUAUCCAAAUGAAGGUUUUUACAUCGUGAUUUAUCCUGGUUUGAUUAGAAUGACGAAGAAGUUGUCAUAUUCUCAAACAGGAAAACUGGAUUCACCUGAGUUGAAAGUGAAAUAACUUCUUCAUCCUAACUCCUAUGAGAUUUAUUCAACUUCUUGGUGAUUCUCAACUACUUAAUGUAUCCAAAUCAAGCCUUGUACAUCUCUAUUCAUCCUUGUUUGAUUAGAAUGACGAAGAAGUUGUCAUAUUCCUAAACAGGAAAACUGAAAUCACCUUAUUUGAAAGUGGGAUAACUUCUUCAUCCUAACUCCUAUGAUAUUGAUUCAACUUUUUGGUGAUUCUUCACUACUUUAUGUAUCCAAAUCGAGCUUUGUGCAUUGCAAUUCAUCCUGGUUAGAUUAGAAUGACGAAGAAGUUGUCAUAUUCUUAAACAGGAAAACUGGGUUCACCUGAUUUGAAGUUGUCAUAUUCUUAAACAGGAAAACUGGGUUCAUCGUGAUAUAUCCUGGUUUGAUUAGAAUGACGAAGAAGUUGUCAUAUUCCCAACAGGAAAACUGGGUUCACCUGAUUUGAAGUUGUCAUAUUCUUAAACAGGAAAACUGGGUUCAUCGUGAUAUAUCCUGGUUUGAUUAGAAUGACGAAGAAGUUGUCAUAUUCCCAAACAGGAAAACUGGGUUUCGCGUAUUUGAAAGUGGGAUAACUUCUUCAGCCUAACUCCUAUAAGAUUUAUUCAACUUCCUGGUGAUUCUCCACUACUUUAUGUAUCCAAAUCAAGCUUUGUUUAUCGCGAUUGAUCCUGGUUAAAUUAGAAUGACAAAGAAGUUGUCAUAUUCUCAAACAGGGAAACUGAGAUCACCUAAUUUGAAAGUGGGGUAACUUCUUCAUCCUAACUCCUAUAUGAUUUAUACAACUUCCUGGUGAUUCGCAACUACUUUAUGUAUCCAAAUCAAGCUUUGUACAUCGCGAUUCAUACUGGUUUUGAUUAGAAUGACGAAGAAGUUGUCAUAUUCCCAAACAGGGAAACUGAGAUCACUUGAUUUGAAAGUGGGUUAACUUCUUCAUCCUAACUCCUAUAAUAUUGAUUCAACUUCCUGGUGAUUCUCCACUACUUUAUGUAACAAAAUCAAGCUUUGUACAUCGAGAUUCAUCCUGGUUUGAUUAGAAUGACGAAGAAGUUGUCAUAUUCCCAACAGGAAAACUGGGUUCACCUGAUUUGAAAGUGGAAUAACUUCUUCAUCCAAAAUCCUAUAAUAUUGAUUCAACUUCCCCGUGAUUCUCCACUACUUUAUGUAACCAAAUUAGGCUUUGUACAUCGAGAUUUAUCUUGGUUUGAUUAUAAUGACGAAGAAGUUUUCAUAUUCCUAAACAGGAAAACUAGGUUCAGCUGAUUCGAAAGUGGGAUAACUUCUUCAUCCUAACUCAUAUGAGAUUUAUUCAACUUCCUGGUGAUUCUCCACUACUUUAUGUAACCAAAUCAGGCUUUGUACAUCGAGAUUCAUCCUGGUUUGAUUAGAAUGACGAAGAAGUUGUCAUAUUCUCAAACAUGGAAACUUGGAUCACCUAAUUUGAAAGUGGGAUAACAUCUUCAUCCUAACUCCUAUGAAAUUUAUUCAACUUCCUGGUGAGUCUCGACUACUCUAUGUAUCCAAUUCAAGCUUCUUACAUCGCGAUUUAUCCUGGUUUGAUUAGAAUGACGAAGAAGUUGUCAUAUUCCCAAACAGGAAAACUGGGAUCACCUGAUUUGAAAGUGGGAUAACUUGUUCAUCCUAACUCCUAUAAUAUUUAUUGAACUUCCUGGUGAUUCUCCACUACUUUAUGUAACCAAAUCAUGCUUUGUUUAUCGCGAUUCAUCCUGGUUUGAUUAGAAUGAUGAAGAAGUUGUCAUAUUCUCAAACAGGGAAACUGGGAUCACCUAAUUUGAAAGUAGGAUAACUUCUUCAUCCUAACUCCUAUGAGAUUUAUUCAAUUUCCUGGUGAUUCUCCACUACUUUAUGUAUCCAAAGCAAGCUUCUUACAUCGCGAUUUAUCCUAGUUUGAUUAGAAUGACGAAGAAGUUGUCAUAUUCCCAAACAGGAAAACUGGGAUCACCUGAUUUGAAAGUGGGAUAACUUGUUCAUCCUAACUCCUAUAAUAUUUAUUGAACUUCCUGGUGAUUCUCCACUACUUUAUGUAACCAAAUCAAGCUUUGUACAUCGCGAUUCAUCCUGGUUUGAUUAGAAUGACGAAGAAGUUGUCAUAUUCCCAAACAACAUUUUGGUGAUUUUCCACUACUAUAUAACCAAAACAAGCUUUGUACAUCGCGAUUUAUCAUGGUUUGAAUAGAAUGACGAAGAAGUUUUCAUAUUCCCCAACAGGAAAACUGGGUUCAGAUGAUUUGAAAGUGGGAUAACUUCUUCAUUCUAACUCCUAUGAGAUUUAUUCAACUUCCUGGUGAUUCUCCACUACUUUAUGUAUCCAAAUCAAGGUUUGUUUAUAGCGAUUCUUCCUGUUUUGAUUAGAAUGACGAAGAAGUUGUCAUAUUCCUCAACAGGAAAACUGGGUUCAGAUGAUUUGAAAGUGGGAUAACUUCUUCAUUCUAACUCCUAUGAGAUUUAUUCAACUUCCUGGUGAUUCUCCACUACUUUAUGUAUCCAAAUCAAGGUUUGUUUAUCGCGAUUUAUCCUGGUUUGAAUAGAUUGGCGAAGAAGUUGUCAGAUUCUCAAACAGGUAAACUGGGAUCACUUUAUUUGAAAGUUGGAUAACUUCUUCAUCCUAACUCCUAUGAGAUUUAUUCAACUUCCUGGUGAUUCUCAACUUCUUUAUGUAUCCAAAUCAAGGUUUGUUUAUCUCAAUUUAUCCUGGUUUGAAUAGAUUGGCGAAGAAGUUGUCAGAUUCUCAAACAGGUAAACUGGGAUCACUUUAUUUGAAAGUUGGAUAACUUCUUCAUCCUAACUCCUAUGAGAUUUAUUCAACUUCCUGGUGAUUUUCCACUACGUUAUGUAUCCAAAUCAAGCUUCUUACAUCGUGAUUUAUCCUGGUUUGAUUAGAAAGAUGAUGAAGAUGUCAUAUUCCCAAAGAGGAUAACUGGAAUCACCUGAUUUGAAAGUGUGAUAACUUCUUCAUCAUAACUCCUAUGGUAUUGAUUCAACAUUUUGGUGAUUUUCCACUACUAUAUAACCAAAACAAGCUUUGUACAUCGCGAUUUAUCAUGGUUUGAAUAGAAUGACGAAGAAGUUGUCAUAUUCCCAAACAUUAAAACUAGGUUCACCGGAUUUGAAAGUGAGAUAACUUCUUGAUCCUAACUUCUAUGAAAUUUAUUCAACUUCCAGGUGAUACUCCACUGCUAAAUGUAUCCAAAUCUAGCUUUGUACAUCUCGAUUCUUCCUGGUUUGAUUUAGAAUGACAAAGAAAUUGUCAUAUUCCAAACAGGGAAACUGAGAUCACUUGAUUUGAAAGUGGGAUAACUUCUUCAUCCUAACUCCUAUGAGAUUUAUUCAACUUCCUGGUGAUUCUCCACUACUUUAUGUAUCCAAAUCAAGCUUCUUACAUCGUGAUUUAUCCUGGUUUGAUUAGAAAGAUGAAGAAGAUGUCAUAUUCCCAAAGAGGAUAACUGGAAUCACCUGAUUUGAAAGUGAGAUAACUUCUUCAUCAUAACUCCUAUGGUAUUGAUUCAACUUUUUGGUGAUUCUCCACUACUAUAUAACCAAAACAAGCUUUGUACAUCGCGAUUUAUCAUGGUUUGAUUAGAAUGACGAAGAAGUUGUCAUAUUCCCAAACAUGAAAACUAGGUUCACCGGAUUUGAAAGUGAGAUAACUUCUUGAUCCUAACUUCUAUGAAAUUUAUUCAACUUCCAGGUGAUACUCCACUGCUAAAUGUAUCCAAAUCUAGCUUUGUACAUCUCGAUUCUUCCUGGUUUGAUUUAGAAUGACAAAGAAAUUGUCAUAUUCCAAAUAGGGAAACUGAGAUCACUUGAUUUGAAAGUGGGAUAACUUCUUCAUCCUAACUCCUAUGAUAUUUAUUCAAAUUCCUGGUGAUUCGCCACUACUUUAUGUAUCCAAAUCAAGCUUUGUACAUCGCGAUUCAUACUGGUUUUGAUUAGAAUGAAGAAAAAAUUGUCAUAUUCCCAAACAGGAAAACUGGGUUCACCUGAUUUGAAAGUGGAAUAACUUCAUCAUCCUCACUCCUAUGAGAAUUAUUCAACUUCCAGGUGAUUCUCAACUACUUAAUGUAUCCAAAUCAAGCUUUGUACAUCUAGAUUCAUCCUGGUUUGAUUAGAAUGACGAAGAAGUUGUCAUAUUCUCAAACAGUGAAACUGGGAUCACCUAAUUUGAAAGUAGGAUAACUUCUUUAUCCUAACUCCUAUGAGAUUUAUUCAAUUUCCUGGUGAUUCUCCACUACUUUAUGUAUCCAAAGCAAGCUUCUUACAUCGCGAUUUAUCCUGAGUUGAAAGUGGGAUAAUUUCUUCAUCCUAACUCCUAUAAUAUUGAUUCAACUUCCUGGGGAUUCUCCACUACUUUAUGUAACCAAAUCAAGCUUUGUACAUCGUGAUUCAUCCUGGUUUGAUUAGAAUGACGAAGAAGUUGCCAUAUUUCCAAACAAGGAAACUGGGAUCACCUGAUUUGAAAGUGAGAUAACUUCUUCAUCCUAACUCCUAUAUUGAUUCAACUUCCUGGUGAUUCUCCACUACUUUAUGUAACCAAAUCAAGCUUUGUACAUCGCGAUAUAUCCUGGUUUGAUUAGAAUGACGAAGAAGUUGUCAUAUUCCCAAACAGGAAAACUGGGUUCACCUGAUUUGAAAGUGAGAUAACUUCUUCAUCCUAACUACUAUGAGAUUUAUUCAAAUUCCUGGUGAUUUUCUACUACUUAAUUGUCAUGUUCCCAAACAGGAAAACUGGGUUUCGCUGAUUUGAAAGUGGGAUAACUUCUUCAGCCUAACUCCUAUGAGAUUUAUUCAACUUCCUUGUGAUUCUCCACUACUUUAUGUAUCCAAAUCAAGCUUUGUUUAUCGAGAUUCAUCCUGGUUUAAUUUGAAUGACAAAGAAGUUGUCAUAUUCUCAAAUAGGGAAAUUGGGAUCACCUAAUUUGAAAGUGGGGUAACUUCUUCAUCCUAACUCCUAUGACAUUUAUUCAACUUCCUAGUGAUUCUCCACUACUUUAUGUAUCUUAAUCAAGCUUCUUACAUCGCGAUUUAUCCUGGUUUGAUUAGAAUGAGGAAGAAGUUGUCAUAUUCUCAAACAGGGAAACUGGGAUCACCUAAUUUGAAAGUAGGAUAACUUCUUCAUCCUAACUCCUAUGAGAUUUAUUCAACUUCCUGUUGAUUCUCCACUACUUUAUGUAUCCAAAUCAAGCUUUGUACAUCGCGAUUCAUCCUGGUUUGAUUAGAAUGACGAAGAAGUUGUCAUAUUCUCAAACAGGCUUCUUACAUCGCGAUUUAUCCUGGUUUGAUUAGAAUGACAAAGAAAUUGUCAUAUUCCAAACAGUGAAACUGAGAUCACUUGAUUUGAAAGUGGGAUAACUUUUUCAUCCUAACUCCUAUGAGAUUUAUUCAACUUCUUGGUGAUUCUCAACUACUUAAUGUAUCCAAAUCCAGCCUUGUACAUCUCGAUUCAUCCUUGUUUGAUUAGAAUGACGAAGAAGUUGUCAUAUUCCCAAACAGAAAAACUGAAAUCACCUGAUUUGAAAGUGGGAUAAUUUCUUCAUCCCGAUUUAUCCUGGUUUGAUUAGAAUGUCGAAGAAGUUGUCAUAUUCCCAUACAGGGAAAUUGGGAUCACCUUAUUUGAAAGUGGGAUAACUUCUUCAUCCUAAGUCCUAUGAGAUUUAUUAAACUUCUUGGUGAUUCUACACUUCUUUAUGUAUCCAAAUGAAGGUUCCAACAUCGUGAUUCAUUCUGGUUUGAUUAGGAUGACGAAGAAGUAUUCAUAUUCCCAAACAGGGAAACUGAGAUCACCCUAUUUGAAAGUGGGAUAGCUUCUUCAUCCUAACUCCUAUAAGAUUUAUUCAAAUUCCGGGUGAUUAUCCACUACUUUAUGUAUCCAAAUGAAGGUUCUUACAUCAAGAUUCAUCCUGGUUUAAUUAGAAUAACGAAGAAGUUAUCAUAUUCCCAAACAGGGAAACUGGGAUCAUCUUAUUUGAAAGCGGGAUAACUUCUUCAUCCUGACACCUAUGAGAUUUAUUCAACUUCCUGGUGAUUCUACACUACUUUAUGUAUCCAAAUAAAGGUUCUUACAUCAAGAUUCAUCCUGGUUUAAUUAGAAUAACGAAGAAGUUGUCAUAUUCCCAAACAGGGAAACUGGGAUCACCUUAUUUGAAAGUGGGAUAACUUCUUCAUCCUAACUCCUAUGAGAUUUAUUCAACUUCCUGGUGAUUCUACACUACUUUAUGUAUCCAAAUGAAGGUUCUAACAUCGCGAUUCAUCCUGGUUUGAUUAGAAUGACGGAAAAGUUGUCAUAUUCCCAAACUGGAAAACUGGGAUCACCUUAUUUGAAAGUGGAAUAACUUCUUCAUCCUAACUCCUAUGAGAUUUAUUCAACAUUCUGGUGAUUCUCAACUACUUUAUGUAUCCAAAUUAAGUUUUGUACAUCGAGAUUCAUCCUGGUUUGAUUAGAAUGUCAAAGAAGUUGUCUUAUUCCCAAACAGGCAAACUGAGAUCACCUUAUUUGAAAGUGGGAUAGCUUCUUCAUCCAAACUCCUAUGAGAUUUAUUCAACUUCGUGGUAAUUGUCCACUACUUUAUGUAUCUAAAUGAAGGUUCUUACAUCAAGAUUCAUUCUGGUUUGAUUAGGAUGACUAAGAAGUAUUCUCAUUCCCAAACAGGAAAACUGGGAUCACCUUAUUUGAAAGUGGGAUAACUUCUUUAUCCUAACUCCUAUGAGAUUUAUUCAACUUCCUGGUGAUUCUCCACUCCUUUAUGUAUCCAAAUGAAGGUUCUUACAUCGCGAUUCAUCCUGGUUUGAUUAGAAUGACGAAGAAGUAUUCAUAUUCCCAAACAGGGAAACUAGGAUCACCUUAUUUGAAAGUGGGAUAACUUCUUCAUCCUAACUCCUAUGAGAUUUAUUCAACUCCUGGUGAUUCUACACUACUUUAUGUAUCCAAAUGAAGGUUCUAACAUCGCGAUUCAUCCUGGUUUGAUUAGAAUGACGAAAAAGUUGUCAUAUCCCCAAACAGGGAAACUGGGAUCACCUUAUUUGAAAGGGAGAUAACUUCUUCAUCCUAACUCCUAUGAGAUUUAUUCAACUUCCUGGUGAUUAUCCACUACUUUAUGUAUCCAAAUGAAGGUUCUUACAUCGCGAUACAUCCUGGUUUGAUUAGAGUGACGAAGAAGUUGUCAUAUUCCCAAACAGGGAAACUGGGAUCACCUUAUUUGAAAGUGGGAUAACUUCUUCAUCCUAACUCCUAUGAGAUUUAUUCAACUUCCUGGUGAUUAUCCACUACUUUAUGUAUCCAAAUGAAGGUUCUUACAUCGCGAUACAUCCUGGUUUGAUUAGAGUGACGAAGAAGUUGUCAUAUUCCCAAACAGGGAAACUGGGAUCACCUUAUUUGAAAGGGAGAUAACUUCUUCAUCCUAACUCCUAUGAGAUUUAUUCAACUUCCUGGUGAUUAUCCACUACUUUAUGUAUCCAAAUGAAGGUUCUUACAUCGCGAUACAUCCUGGUUUGAUUAGAGUGACGAAGAAGUUGUCAUAUUCCCAAACAGGGAAACUGGGAUCACCUUAUUUGAAAGUGGGAUAACUUCUUCAUCCUAACUCCUAUGAGAUUUAUUCAACUUCCUGGUGAUUCUCCACUACUUUAUGUAUCCAAAUGAAGGUUCUUACAUCAAGAUUCAUCUUGGUUUAAUUAGAAUAACGAAGAAGUUGUCAUAUUCCCAAAUAGGGAAACUGGCAUCACUUUAUUUGAAAUUGGGAUAACUUCUUCAUCCUAACUCCUAUGAGAUUUAUUCAACUUCCAGGUGAUUCUACACUACUUUAUGUGUCCAAAUGAAGGUUCUUGCAUCAAGAUUCAUCCUGGUUUGAUUAGAAUGAUGAAGAAGUUGUCAUAUUCCCAAACAAGGAAACUGGGAUCAUUUUAUUUGAAAGUGGGAUAACUUCUUCAUCCUAACUCCUAUGAGAUUUAUUCAACUUCCAGGUGAUUCUACACUACUUUAUGUGUCCAAAUGAAGGUUCUUGCAUCAAGAUUCAUCCUGGUUUGAUUAGAAUGAUGAAGAAGUUGUCAUAUUCCCAAACAAGGAAACUGGGAUCAUUUUAUUUGAAAGUGGGAUAACUUCUUCAUCCUAACUCCUAUGAGAUUUAUUCAACUUCCAGGUGAUUCUCCACUACUUAAUGUAUCCAAAUAGAGCUUUGUACAUCUCGAUUCAUCCUGGUUUUAUUAGAAUGAAAAAGAAAUUUUCAUAUUCCAAAUAGGGAAACUGGGAUCACUUGAUUUGAAAGUGGGAUAACUUCUUCAUCCUAACUCCUAUGAGAUUUAUUCAACUUCCUGGUGAUUAUCCACUACUUUAUGUAUCCAAAUGAAGGUUCUAGUUUGAUUAGAAUGACGAAGAAGUUGUCAUAUUCCCAAACAGGAAAACUGGGUUCACCUGAUUUGAAAGUGAAAUAACUUCUUCAUCCUAACUCCUAUGAGAUUUAUUCAACUUCCAGGUGAUACUUCACUGCUAAAUGUAUCCAAAUCUAGCUUUGUACAUCUCGAUUCUUCCUGGUUUGAUUUAGAAUGACAAAGAAAUUGUCAUAUUCCAAACAGGGAAACUGAGAUCACUUGAUUUGAAAGUGGGAUAACUUCUUCAUCCUAACUCCUAUGAUAUUUAUUCAAAUUCCUGGUGAUUCGCUCCAAAUCAAGCUUUGUACAUCGCGAUUCAUACUGGUUUUGAUUAGAAUGACGGAAAAGUUGUCAUAUUCCCAAACAGGAAAACUGGGUUCACCUGAUUUGAAAGUGGAAUAACUUCAUCAUCCUAAAUCCUAUAAUAUUGAUUCAAUUUCCUGGUGAUUCUCCACUACUUUAGGUAUCCAAAGCAAGCUUCUUACAUCGCGAUUUAUCAUGGUUUGAUUAAAAUGACGAAGAAGUUGUCAUAUUCCCAAACAGGGAAACUUGGAUCACCUGAUUGAAAGUGGGAUAACUUCUUCUUCCUAACUCCUAUAAUAUUGAUUCAAUUUCCUGGUGAUUCUCCGCUACUUUAUGAGCUUUUUACAUCGCGAUUUAACCUGGUUUGAUUAGAAUGACGAAGGAGUUGUCAUAUUCCCAAACAGGGAAACUUGGAUCACCUGAUUGAAAGUGGGAUAACUUCUUCUUCCUAACUCCUAUAAUAUUGAUUCAAUUUCCUGGUGAUUCUCCGCUACUUUAUGAGCUUUUUACAUCGCGAUUUAACCUGGUUUGAUUAGAAUGACGAAGGAGUUGUCAUAUUCCCAAACAGGGAAACUUGGAUCACCUGAUUGAAAGUGGGAUAACUUCUUCUUCCUAACUCCUAUAAUAUUGAUUCAAUUUCCUGGUGAUUCUCCGCUACUUUAUGAGCUUUUUACAUCGCGAUUUAACCUGGUUUGAUUAGAAUGACGAAGGAGUUGUCAUAUUCCCAAACAGGGAAACUUGGAUCACCUGAUUGAAAGUGGGAUAACUUCUUCUUCCUAACUCCUAUAAUAUUGAUUCAAUUUCCUGGUGAUUCUCCGCUACUUUAUGAGCUUUUUACAUCGCGAUUUAACCUGGUUUGAUUAGAAUGACGAAGGAGUUGUCAUAUUCCCAAACAGGGAAACUUGGAUCACCUGAUUGAAAGUGGGAUAACUUCUUCUUCCUAACUCCUAUAAUAUUGAUUCAAUUUCCUGGUGAUUCUCCGCUACUUUAUGAGCUUUUUACAUCGCGAUUUAACCUGGUUUGAUUAGAAUGACGAAGGAGUUGUCAUAUUCCCAAACAGGGAAACUUGGAUCACCUGAUUGAAAGUGGGAUAACUUCUUCUUCCUAACUCCUAUAAUAUUGAUUCAAUUUCCUGGUGAUUCUCCGCUACUUUAUGAGCUUUUUACAUCGCGAUUUAACCUGGUUUGAUUAGAAUGACGAAGGAGUUGUCAUAUUCCCAAACAGGGAAACUUGGAUCACCUGAUUGAAAGUGGGAUAACUUCUUCUUCCUAACUCCUAUAAUAUUGAUUCAAUUUCCUGGUGAUUCUCCGCUACUUUAUGAGCUUUUUACAUCGCGAUUUAACCUGGUUUGAUUAGAAUGACGAAGGAGUUGUCAUAUUCCCAAACAGGGAAACUUGGAUCACCUGAUUGAAAGUGGGAUAACUUCUUCUUCCUAACUCCUAUAAUAUUGAUUCAAUUUCCUGGUGAUUCUCCGCUACUUUAUGAGCUUUUUACAUCGCGAUUUAACCUGGUUUGAUUAGAAUGACGAAGGAGUUGUCAUAUUCCCAAACAGGGAAACUUGGAUCACCUGAUUGAAAGUGGGAUAACUUCUUCUUCCUAACUCCUAUAAUAUUGAUUCAAUUUCCUGGUGAUUCUCCGCUACUUUAUGAGCUUUUUACAUCGCGAUUUAACCUGGUUUGAUUAGAAUGACGAAGGAGUUGUCAUAUUCCCAAACAGGGAAACUUGGAUCACCUGAUUGAAAGUGGGAUAACUUCUUCUUCCUAACUCCUAUAAUAUUGAUUCAAUUUCCUGGUGAUUCUCCGCUACUUUAUGAGCUUUUUACAUCGCGAUUUAACCUGGUUUGAUUAGAAUGACGAAGGAGUUGUCAUAUUCCCAAACAGGGAAACUUGGAUCACCUGAUUGAAAGUGGGAUAACUUCUUCAUCCUAACUCCUAUGACAUUUAUUCAACUUCCUGGUGAUUCUCCGCUACUUUAUGAGCUUUUUACAUCGCGAUUUAACCUGGUUUGAUUAGAAUGACGAAGGAGUUGUCAUAUUCCCAAACAGGGAAACUUGGAUCACCUGAUUGAAAGUGGGAUAACUUCUUCUUCCUAACUCCUAUAAUAUUGAUUCAACUUCUUGGGGAUUCUCCACUACUUUAUGUAACCAAAUCAAGCUUUGUACAUCGCGAUUUGUCCUGGUUUGAUUAGAAUGACGAAUAAGUUGACAUAUUCCCAAACAGGAAAACUGGGUUCACCUGAUUUGAAAGUGAAAUAACUUCUUCAUCAUUCUCCACUACUUUAUGUAACCAAAUCAAGCUUUGUACAUCGCGAUUUGUCCUGGUUUGAUUAGAAUGACGAAUAAGUUGACAUAUUCCCAAACAGGAAAACUGGGUUCACCUGAUUUGAAAGUGAAAUAACUUCUUCAUCAUUCUCCACUACUUUAUGUAACCAAAUCAAGCUUUGUACAUCGCGAUUUGUCCUGGUUUGAUUAGAAUGACGAAUAAGUUGACAUAUUCCCAAACAGGAAAACUGGGUUCACCUGAUUUGAAAGUGAAAUAACUUCUUCAUCAUUCUCCACUACUUUAUGUAACCAAAUCAAGCUUUGUACAUCGCGAUUUGUCCUGGUUUGAUUAGAAUGACGAAUAAGUUGACAUAUUCCCAAACAGGAAAACUGGGUUCACCUGAUUUGAAAGUGAAAUAACUUCUUCAUCAUUCUCCACUACUUUAUGUAACCAAAUCAAGCUUUGUACAUCGCGAUUUGUCCUGGUUUGAUUAGAAUGACGAAUAAGUUGACAUAUUCCCAAACAGGAAAACUGGGUUCACCUGAUUUGAAAGUGAAAUAACUUCUUCAUCCUAACUCCUAUGAGAUUUAUUCAACUUCCUGGUGAUUCUCCACUACUUUAUGUAACCAAAUCAAGCUUUGUACAUCGCGAUUUGUCCUGGUUUGAUUAGAAUGACGAAUAAGUUGACAUAUUCCCAAACAGGAAAACUGGGUUCACCUGAUUUGAAAGUGAAAUAACUUCUUCAUCCUAACUCCUAUGAGAUUUAUUCAACUUCCUGGUGAUUCUCCACUACUUUAUGUAACCAAAUCAAGCUUUGUACAUCGCGAUUUGUCCUGGUUUGAUUAGAAUGACGAAUAAGUUGACAUAUUCCCAAACAGGAAAACUGGGUUCACCUGAUUUGAAAGUGAAAUAACUUCUUCAUCCUAACUCCUAUGAGAUUUAUUCAACUUCCUGGUGAUUCUCCACUACUUUAUGUAACCAAAUCAAGCUUUGUACAUCGCGAUUUGUCCUGGUUUGAUUAGAAUGACGAAUAAGUUGACAUAUUCCCAAACAGGAAAACUGGGUUCACCUGAUUUGAAAGUGAAAUAACUUCUUCAUCCUAACUCCUAUGAGAUUUAUUCAACUUCCUGGUGAUUCUCUAUUUUUUAUGUAUCCAAAUCAAGGUUUGUUUAUCGCGAUUAAUCCUGGCUUGGAUAGAAUGGCGAAGAAGUUGUCAUAUUCUCAAACUUGGAAACUGGGAUCACCUAAUUUGAAAGUGAGAUAACUUCUUCAUCCCAACUACUAUGAGAUUUAUUCAACUUCCAUGUUAUUCUCCACUACUUUAUUUAUCUAAAUCAAGCUUCUUACCACAUGAUUUAUCCUGGUUUGAAUAGAAUGACAAAGAAGUUUUCAUAUUCCCAAACAGAAAAACUGGAAUCACCUAAUUUGAAAGUGGGAUAACUUCUUCAUCCUAACUCCUAUGAUAUUGAUCAACUUUUUGGUGAUUCUCCACUACUUUAUGUAUCCAAAUCAAGCUUUGUACAUCACAAUUUAUCCUGGUUUGAUUAGAAUGACGAAGAAGUUGUCAUAUUCCCAAACAGGAAAACUGGGUCACCUGAUUUGAAAGUGAGAUAACUUUUUCAUCCUAACUCCUAUGAGAUUUAUUCAACGUCCAGGUGAUUCUCCACUACUUAAUGUAUCCAAAUCAAGCUUUGUACAUCUCGAUUCACCCUGGUUUUAUUAGAAUGACAAAGAAAUUAUCAUAUUCGAAACAUGGAAACUGGGAUCACUUGAUUUGAAAAUGGGAUAACUUCUUCAUCCUAACUCCUAUGAGAUUUAUUCAACUUCCUGGUGAUUCUCCACUACUUCAUGUAUCAAAAUGAAGGUUUUUACAUCGCGAUUUAUCCUGGUUUGAUUAGAAUGACGAUGAAGUUGUCAUAUUCUCAAACAGGAAAACUGGGUUCACCUGAUUUGAAAGUGAAAUAACUUCUUCAUCCUAACUCCUACGAGAUUUAUUCAAUUGUCUGGUGAUUCUCAACUACUUAAUGUAUCCAAAUCAAGCCUUGUACAUCUCGAUUCAUCCUUGUUUGAUUAGAAUGACGAAGAAGUUGUCAUAUUCCCAAACAGGAAAACUGAAAUCACCUGAUUUGAAAGUGGGAUAACUUCUUCAUCCUAACUCCUAUGAUAUUGAUUCAACUUUUUGGUGAUUCUCCACUACUUUAUGUAUCCAAAUCGAGCUUUGUGCAUCGCAAUUCAUCCUGGUUAGAUUAGAAUGACGAAGAAGUUGUCAUAUUCUUAAACAGGGAAACUGGGAUCACCUUAUUUGAAAGUGGGAUAACUUUGAAAUUGAUAUACUUCCUUCAUCCUCACUCCUAUUGGAUUUAUUAAACUUCGAGGUGAUUCUCCACUACUUAAUGUAUCCAAAUCAAACUUUGUACAUCUAGAUUUAUCCUGGUUUUAUUAGAAUGACAAAGAAAUUGUCAUAUUCCAAACAGUGAAACUGAGAUCACUUGAUUUGAAAGUGGGAUAACUUCUUCAUCCUAACUCCUAUCCUGGUUUUAUUAGAAUAACAAAGAAAUUGUCAUAUUCCAAACAGUGAAACUGAGAUCACUUGAUUUGAAAGUGGGAUAACUUCUUCAUCCUAACUCCUAUCCUGGUUUUAUUAGAAUAACAAAGAAAUUGUCAUAUUCCAAACAGUGAAACUGAGAUCACUUGAUUUGAAAGUGGGAUAACUUCUUCAUCCUAACUCCUAUCCUGGUUUUAUUAGAAUAACAAAGAAAUUGUCAUAUUCCAAACAGUGAAACUGAGAUCACUUGAUUUGAAAGUGGGAUAACUUCUUCAUCCUAACUCCUAUCCUGGUUUUAUUAGAAUAACAAAGAAAUUGUCAUAUUCCAAACAGUGAAACUGAGAUCACUUGAUUUGAAAGUGGGAUAACUUCUUCAUCCUAACUCCUAUCCUGGUUUUAUUAGAAUAACAAAGAAAUUGUCAUAUUCCAAACAGUGAAACUGAGAUCACUUGAUUUGAAAGUGGGAUAACUUCUUCAUCCUAACUCCUAUCCUGGUUUUAUUAGAAUAACAAAGAAAUUGUCAUAUUCCAAACAGUGAAACUGAGAUCACUUGAUUUGAAAGUGGGAUAACUUCUUCAUCCUAACUCCUAUCCUGGUUUUAUUAGAAUAACAAAGAAAUUGUCAUAUUCCAAACAGUGAAACUGAGAUCACUUGAUUUGAAAGUGGGAUAACUUCUUCAUCCUAACUCCUAUCCUGGUUUUAUUAGAAUAACAAAGAAAUUGUCAUAUUCCAAACAGUGAAACUGAGAUCACUUGAUUUGAAAGUGGGAUAACUUCUUCAUCCUAACUCCUAUCCUGGUUUUAUUAGAAUAACAAAGAAAUUGUCAUAUUCCAAACAGUGAAACUGAGAUCACUUGAUUUGAAAGUGGGAUAACUUCUUCAUCCUAACUCCUAUCCUGGUUUUAUUAGAAUAACAAAGAAAUUGUCAUAUUCCAAACAGUGAAACUGAGAUCACUUGAUUUGAAAGUGGGAUAACUUCUUCAUCCUAACUCCUAUCCUGGUUUUAUUAGAAUAACAAAGAAAUUGUCAUAUUCCAAACAGUGAAACUGAGAUCACUUGAUUUGAAAGUGGGAUAACUUCUUCAUCCUAACUCCUAUCCUGGUUUUAUUAGAAUAACAAAGAAAUUGUCAUAUUCCAAACAGUGAAACUGAGAUCACUUGAUUUGAAAGUGGGAUAACUUCUUCAUCCUAACUCCUAUCCUGGUUUUAUUAGAAUAACAAAGAAAUUGUCAUAUUCCAAACAGUGAAACUGAGAUCACUUGAUUUGAAAGUGGGAUAACUUCUUCAUCCUAACUCCUAUCCUGGUUUUAUUAGAAUAACAAAGAAAUUGUCAUAUUCCAAACAGUGAAACUGAGAUCACUUGAUUUGAAAGUGGGAUAACUUCUUCAUCCUAACUCCUAUCCUGGUUUUAUUAGAAUAACAAAGAAAUUGUCAUAUUCCAAACAGUGAAACUGAGAUCACUUGAUUUGAAAGUGGGAUAACUUCUUCAUCCUAACUCCUAUCCUGGUUUUAUUAGAAUAACAAAGAAAUUGUCAUAUUCCAAACAGUGAAACUGAGAUCACUUGAUUUGAAAGUGGGAUAACUUCUUCAUCCUAACUCCUAUCCUGGUUUUAUUAGAAUAACAAAGAAAUUGUCAUAUUCCAAACAGUGAAACUGAGAUCACUUGAUUUGAAAGUGGGAUAACUUCUUCAUCCUAACUCCUAUCCUGGUUUUAUUAGAAUAACAAAGAAAUUGUCAUAUUCCAAACAGUGAAACUGAGAUCACUUGAUUUGAAAGUGGGAUAACUUCUUCAUCCUAACUCCUAUCCUGGUUUUAUUAGAAUAACAAAGAAAUUGUCAUAUUCCAAACAGUGAAACUGAGAUCACUUGAUUUGAAAGUGGGAUAACUUCUUCAUCCUAACUCCUAUCCUGGUUUUAUUAGAAUAACAAAGAAAUUGUCAUAUUCCAAACAGUGAAACUGAGAUCACUUGAUUUGAAAGUGGGAUAACUUCUUCAUCCUAACUCCUAUCCUGGUUUUAUUAGAAUAACAAAGAAAUUGUCAUAUUCCAAACAGUGAAACUGAGAUCACUUGAUUUGAAAGUGGGAUAACUUCUUCAUCCUAACUCCUAUCCUGGUUUUAUUAGAAUAACAAAGAAAUUGUCAUAUUCCAAACAGUGAAACUGAGAUCACUUGAUUUGAAAGUGGGAUAACUUCUUCAUCCUAACUCCUAUCCUGGUUUUAUUAGAAUAACAAAGAAAUUGUCAUAUUCCAAACAGUGAAACUGAGAUCACUUGAUUUGAAAGUGGGAUAACUUCUUCAUCCUAACUCCUAUCCUGGUUUUAUUAGAAUAACAAAGAAAUUGUCAUAUUCCAAACAGUGAAACUGAGAUCACUUGAUUUGAAAGUGGGAUAACUUCUUCAUCCUAACUCCUAUGAGAUUUAUUCAACUUCCUGGUGAUUCUCCACUACUUUAUGUAUCCAAAUCAAGGUUUGUUUAUCGCGAUUUAUCCUGGCAUUGUUAGAAUGGCGAAGAAGUUGUCAUAUUCGUAAAUAAGGAAACCGGGAUUACCUAAUUUGAAAGUGGGAUAACUUCUUCAUCCUAACUCCUAUUAGAUUUAUUCAACUUCAAGGUGAUUCUCCACUACUUGAUGUAUCGAAAUCAAGCUUCUUAUAUCGCAAUUUAUCCUGGUUUGAUUAGAAUGACGAAGAAGUUGUCAUAUUCCCAAACAGGAAAACUGGAAUCACCUGAUUUGAAAGUGAAAUAACUUCUUCAUCCUAACUCCUAUGAUAUUGAUUCAAAUUUUUGGUUAUUCUCCACUACUUUAUAUAUCCAAAUCAGGCUUUGUACAUCGCAAUUCAUCCUGGUUAAAUUAGAAUGACGAAGAAGUUGUCAUAUUCCCAAACAGGAAAAUUGGGUUCACCUGAUUUGAAAGUGAAAUAACUUCUUCAUCCUAACUCCUAUGAUAUUGAUUCAAAUUUUUGGUUAUUCUCCACUACUUUAUAUAUCCAAAUCAGGCUUUGUACAUCGCAAUUCAUCCUGGUUAAAUUAGAAUGACGAAGAAGUUGUCAUAUUUCCAAACAGGAAAACUGGGUUCACCUGAUUUGAAAGUGAGAUAACUUCUUCAUCCUAACUCCUAUGAGAUUUAUUCAACUUCCAAUUGAUUCUGCACUACUUAAUGUAUCCUAAUCAAGCUUUGUACAUAUCGAUUCAUCCUGGUUUUAUUAGAAUGACAAAGAAAUUGUCAUAUUCCAAACAGGGAAACUGGGAUCACUUGAUUUGAAAGUGGGAUAACUUCUUCAUCCUAACUCCUAUGAGAUUUAUUCAACUUCCUGGUGAUUCCACACUACUUUAUGUAUCCAAAUGAAGGUCUUUACAUCGCGAUUUAUCCUGAUUUGAUUAGAAUGACGAAGAAGUUGUCAUAUUCCCAAACAGGAAAACUGGGUUCACCUGAUUUGAAAGUGAAAUAACUUCUUCAACCAAACUCCUAUGAGAUUUAUUCAACUUCGUGGUGAUUCUCAACUACUUAACGUAUCCAAAUCAAGCCUUGUACAUCUCGAUUCAUCCUUGUUUGAUUAGAAUAACGAAGAAGUUGUCAUAUUCCCAAACAGGAAAACUGGGUUCACCUGAUUUGAAAGUGAAAUAACUUCUUCAACCAAACUCCUAUGAGAUUUAUUCAACUUCCUGGUGAUUCUCCACUUCUUUAUGUAUCCAAAUCAAGGUUUGUACAUCGCAAUUAUCCUUUUUUGAUUAGAAUGAAGAAGAAGUUAUCAUAUUCUUAAACAGGAAAACUAGGUUCACCUACAUCGCGAUUUAUCCUGGUUUGAUUAGAAUGACGAAGAAGUUGUCAUAUUCUUAAACAGGAAAACUAGGUUCACCUACAUCGCGAUUUAUCCUGGUUUGAUUAGAAUGACGAAGAAGUUGUCAUAUUCUUAAACAGGAAAACUAGGUUCACCUACAUCGCGAUUUAUCCUGGUUUGAUUAGAAUGACGAAGAAGUUGUCAUAUUCUUAAACAGGAAAACUAGGUUCACCUACAUCGCGAUUUAUCCUGGUUUGAUUAGAAUGACGAAGAAGUUGUCAUAUUCUUAAACAGGAAAACUAGGUUCACCUACAUCGCGAUUUAUCCUGGUUUGAUUAGAAUGACGAAGAAGUUGUCAUAUUCUUAAACAGGAAAACUAGGUUCACCUACAUCGCGAUUUAUCCUGGUUUGAUUAGAAUGACGAAGAAGUUGUCAUAUUCUUAAACAGGAAAACUAGGUUCACCUACAUCGCGAUUUAUCCUGGUUUGAUUAGAAUGACGAAGAAGUUGUCAUAUUCUUAAACAGGAAAACUAGGUUCACCUACAUCGCGAUUUAUCCUGGUUUGAUUAGAAUGACGAAGAAGUUGUCAUAUUCUUAAACAGGAAAACUAGGUUCACCUACAUCGCGAUUUAUCCUGGUUUGAUUAGAAUGACGAAGAAGUUGUCAUAUUCUUAAACAGGAAAACUAGGUUCACCUACAUCGCGAUUUAUCCUGGUUUGAUUAGAAUGACGAAGAAGUUGUCAUAUUCUUAAACAGGAAAACUAGGUUCACCUGAUUUGAAAUUGAUAUACUUCCUUCAUCCUCACUCCUAUGGGAUUUAUUUAACUUCCAGGUGAUUCUUCACUACUUAAUGUAUCCAAAUCAAACUUUGUACAUCUAGAUUAAUCCUGGUUUUAUUAGAAUGACAAAGAAAUUGUCAUAUUCCAAAUUAUGAAACUGAGAUCACUUUAUUUGAAAGUGGGAUAACUUCUUCAUCCUAACUCCUAUGAGAUUUAUUCAACUUUCUGGUGAUUCUCCAUUUUUUUAUAUAUCAAAAUCAAGGUUUGUUUAUCGCGAUUUAUCCUGGCUUGGUUAGAAUGGCGAAGAAGUUGUCAUAUUCUCAAACUGGGAAACUGGGAUCACCUAAUUUGAAAGUGGGAUAACUUCUUCAUCCCAACUCCUAUGAGAUUUAUUCAACUACCAUGUUAUUCUCCACUACUUUACUUAUCCAAAUCAAGCUUCUUACCUCACGAUUUAUCCUGGUUUGAAUAGAAUGACAAAGAAUUUUUCAUAUUCCCAAACAGGAAAACUGGAAUCACCUGAUUUGAAUGUGGAAUAACUUCUUCAUCCUAACUCCUAUGAUAUUGAUUCUACUUUUUGGUGAUUCUCCACUACUUUAUGUAUCCAAAUCAAGCUUUGUACAUCGCAAUUUAUACUGGUUUGAUUAGAAUGACGAAGAAGUUGUCAUAUUCCCAAACAGGAAAACUGGGUCACCUGAUUUGAAAGUGAGAUAACUUUUUCAUCCUAGCUCCUAUGAGAUUUAUUCAACUUCCAGGUGAUUCUCCACCACUUAAUGUAUCCAAAUCAAGCUUUGUACAUCUCGAUUCUUCCUGGUUUUAUUAGAAUAACAAAGAAAUUGUCAUAUUCCAAACAGGGAAACUGGGAUCACUUGAUUUGAAAGUGGGAUAACUUCUUCAUCUUAACUCCUAUGAGAUUUAUUCAACUUCCUGUUGAUUCUCCACUACUUUAUGUAUCCAAAUCAAAUUUUCCACAACGCAAUUCAUCCUGAUUAAAUUAGAAUGACGAAGAAGUUUUCAUACUCCCAAACAGGAAAACUGGGUUCACCUGAUUUGAAAGUGAGAUACCUUCUUCAUCCUAACUCCUAUGAGAUUUAUUCAACUUCCAGGUGAUUCUCCACUACUUAAUGUAUCCAAAUCAAGCUUUGUACACCUCGAUUCAUCCUGGUUUUAUUAGAAUGACAAAGAAAUUGUCAUAUUCCAAACAGGGAAACUGGGAUCACUUGAUUUGAAAGUGGGAUAACUUCUUCAUCCUAACUCCUAUGAGAUUUAUUCAACUUCCNNNNNNNNNNNNNNNNNNNNNNNNNNNNNNNNNNNNNNNNNNNNNNNNNNNNNNNNNNNNNNNNNNNNNNNNNNNNNNNNNNNNNNNNNNNNNNNNNNNNNNNNNNNNNNNNNNNNNNNNNNNNNNNNNNNNNNNNNNNNNNNNNNNNNNNNNNNNNNNNNNNNNNNNNNNNNNNNNNNNNNNNNNNNNNNNNNNNNNNNNNNNNNNNNNNNNNNNNNNNNNNNNNNNNNNNNNNNNNNNNNNNNNNNNNNNNNNNNNNNNNNNNNNNNNNNNNNNNNNNNNNNNNNNNNNNNNNNNNNNNNNNNNNNNNNNNNNNNNNNNNNNNNNNNNNNNNNNNNNNNNNNNNNNNNNNNNNNNNNNNNNNNNNNNNNNNNNNNNNNNNNNNNNNNNNNNNNNNNNNNNNNNNNNNNNNNNNNNNNNNNNNNNNNNNNNNNNNNNNNNNNNNNNNNNNNNNNNNNNNNNNNNNNNNNNNNNNNNNNNNNNNNNNNNNNNNNNNNNNNNNNNNNNNNNNNNNNNNNNNNNNNNNNNNNNNNNNNNNNNNNNNNNNNNNNNNNNNNNNNNNNNNNNNNNNNNNNNNNNNNNNNNNNNNNNNNNNNNNNNNNNNNNNNNNNNNNNNNUGGGAUAACUUCUUCAUCCUAACUCAUAUGAGAUUUAUUCAACUUCCUGGUGAUUCUCCACUACUUUAUGUAUCCAAAUGAAGGUUUUUACAUCGCGAUUUAUCCUGAUUUGAUUAGAAUGACGAAGAAGUUGUCAUAUUCCCAAACAGGAAAACUGGGUUCACCUGAUUUGAAAGUGAAAUAACUUCUUCAUCCAAACUCCUAUGAGAUUUAUUCAACUUCGUGGUGAUUCUCAACUACUUAAUGUAUCCAAAUCAAGCCUUGUACAUCUCGAUUCAUCCUUGUUUGAUUAGAAUAACGAAGAAGUUGUCAUAUUCCCAAACAGGAAAACUGAAAUCACCUGAUUUAAAAGUGGGAUAACUUCUUCAUCCUAACUCCUAUGAGAUUUAUUCAACUUCCUGGUGAUUCUCCACUUCUUUAUGUAUCCAAAUCAAGGUAUGUACAUCGCAAUUAUCCUUGUUUGAUUAGAAUGACGAAGAAGUUAUCAUAUUCUUAAACAGGAAAACUGGGUUCACCUAAUUUGAAAUUGAUAUACUUUCUUCAUCCUCAAUCAUAUGAGAUUUAUUCAACUUCCAGAUGAUUCUCCACUACUUAAUAUAUCCAAAUCAAGCUUUGUACAUCUAGAUUCAUCUUCGUUUUAUUAGAAUAACAAAGAAAUUGUCAUAUUCCAAACAGGGAAACUGGGAUCACUUGAUUUGAAAGUGGGAUAACUUCUUCAUCCUAACUCCUAUGAGAUUUAUUCAACUUCCUGGUGAUUCUACACUUCUUUAUGUAUCCAAAUCAAGGUUUGUUUAUCGUGAUUUAUCCUUGCUUGGUUAGAAUGGCGAAGAAGUUUUCAUAUUCGUAAAUAAGGAAACUGGGAUCACCUAAUUUGAAAGUGGGAUAACUUCUUCAUCCUAACUCCUAUUAGAUUUAUUCAACUUCUAAGUGAUUCUCCACUACUUUAUGUAUCGAAAUCAAGCUUCUUACAUCGCGAUUUAUCCUGGUUUGAUUAGAAUGACGAAGAAGUUGUCAUAUUCCCAAACAGGAAAACUGGAAUCACCUGAUUUGAAAGUGAAAUAACUUCUUCAUCCUAACUCCUAUGAUAUUGAUUCAACUUUUUGGUUAUUCUCCACUACUUUAUAUAUCCAAAUCAGGCUUUGUACAUCGCAAUUCAUCCUGGUUAAAUUAGAAUGACGAAGAAGUUGUCAUAUUCCCAAACAGAAAAAUUGGGUUCACCUGAUUUGAAAGUGAAAUAACUUCUUCAUCCUAACUCCUAUGAGAUUUAUUCAACUUCCAAUUGAUUCUGCACUACUUAAUGUAUCCUAAUCAAGCUUUGUACAUCUCGAUUCAUCCUGGUUUUUUUGGAAUGACAAAGAAAUUGCCAUAUUCCAAACAGGGAAACUGGGAUCACUUGAUUUGAAAGUGGGAUAACUUCUUCAUCCUAACUCCUAUGAGAUUUAUUCAACUUCCUGGUUAUUCUCCACUACGUUAUGUAUCCAAAUGAUGGUUUUUACAUAGCGAUUUAUCCUGGUUUGAUUAGAAUGACGAAGAAGUUGUCAUAUUCCCAAACAGGAAAACUGGGUUCACCUGAUUUGAAAGUGAGAUAUCUUCUUCAUCCUAACUCCUAUGAGAUUUAUUCAACUUCCAGGUGAAUCUCCACUACUUUAUGUAUCCAAAUCAAGUUUUGUACAUUGCGAUUCAUCCUUCUUUUGAUUAGAAUGACGAAAAUUUGUCAUAUUCCCAAACAGGAAAACUGGGAUCACCUGAUUUGAAAGUGGGAUAAUUUCUUCAUCCUAACUCCUAUGAGAUUUAUUCAAUUUCCUGGUGAUUCUCCACUACUUUAUGUAUCCAAAUCAUGCUUCUUACAUAGCGAUUUAUCCUGGUUUGAAUAGAAUGACGAAGAAGUUUUUAUAUUCGCAAACAGGAAAACUGGGAUCACCUGAUUUAAAAGUGGGAUAAUUUCUUCAUCCUAACUCCUAUGCUAUUUAUUAACCUUCCGGGUGAUUCUCCACUAUUUUAUGUAUCCAAAUCAAGUUUUUUACAUCUCGAUUCAUACUGGUUUUGAUUAGAAUGACAAAAAAGUUGUCAUAUUCGCAAACAGGAAAACUGGGUUCACCUGAUUUGAAAGUGAGAUAACUUCUUCAUCCUAACUCCUAUAUUGAUUCAACUAUCACCUGAUUUGAAAGUGAGAUAACUUCUUCAUCCUAACUCCUAUAUUGAUUCAACUAUCACCUGAUUUGAAAGUGAGAUAACUUCUUCAUCCUAACUCCUAUAUUGAUUCAACUAUCACCUGAUUUGAAAGUGAGAUAACUUCUUCAUCCUAACUCCUAUAUUGAUUCAACUAUCACCUGAUUUGAAAGUGAGAUAACUUCUUCAUCCUAACUCCUAUAUUGAUUCAACUAUCACCUGAUUUGAAAGUGAGAUAACUUCUUCAUCCUAACUCCUAUAUUGAUUCAACUAUCACCUGAUUUGAAAGUGAGAUAACUUCUUCAUCCUAACUCCUAUAUUGAUUCAACUAUCACCUGAUUUGAAAGUGAGAUAACUUCUUCAUCCUAACUCCUAUAUUGAUUCAACUAUCACCUGAUUUGAAAGUGAGAUAACUUCUUCAUCCUAACUCCUAUAUUGAUUCAACUAUCACCUGAUUUGAAAGUGAGAUAACUUCUUCAUCCUAACUCCUAUAUUGAUUCAACUAUCACCUGAUUUGAAAGUGAGAUAACUUCUUCAUCCUAACUCCUAUAUUGAUUCAACUAUCACCUGAUUUGAAAGUGAGAUAACUUCUUCAUCCUAACUCCUAUAUUGAUUCAACUAUCACCUGAUUUGAAAGUGAGAUAACUUCUUCAUCCUAACUCCUAUAUUGAUUCAACUAUCACCUGAUUUGAAAGUGAGAUAACUUCUUCAUCCUAACUCCUAUAUUGAUUCAACUAUCACCUGAUUUGAAAGUGAGAUAACUUCUUCAUCCUAACUCCUAUAUUGAUUCAACUAUCACCUGAUUUGAAAGUGAGAUAACUUCUUCAUCCUAACUCCUAUAUUGAUUCAACUAUCACCUGAUUUGAAAGUGAGAUAACUUCUUCAUCCUAACUCCUAUAUUGAUUCAACUAUCACCUGAUUUGAAAGUGAGAUAACUUCUUCAUCCUAACUCCUAUAUUGAUUCAACUAUCACCUGAUUUGAAAGUGAGAUAACUUCUUCAUCCUAACUCCUAUAUUGAUUCAACUAUCACCUGAUUUGAAAGUGAGAUAACUUCUUCAUCCUAACUCCUAUAUUGAUUCAACUAUCACCUGAUUUGAAAGUGAGAUAACUUCUUCAUCCUAACUCCUAUAUUGAUUCAACUAUCACCUGAUUUGAAAGUGAGAUAACUUCUUCAUCCUAACUCCUAUAUUGAUUCAACUAUCACCUGAUUUGAAAGUGAGAUAACUUCUUCAUCCUAACUCCUAUAUUGAUUCAACUAUCACCUGAUUUGAAAGUGAGAUAACUUCUUCAUCCUAACUCCUAUAUUGAUUCAACUAUCACCUGAUUUGAAAGUGAGAUAACUUCUUCAUCCUAACUCCUAUAUUGAUUCAACUAUCACCUGAUUUGAAAGUGAGAUAACUUCUUCAUCCUAACUCCUAUAUUGAUUCAACUAUCACCUGAUUUGAAAGUGAGAUAACUUCUUCAUCCUAACUCCUAUAUUGAUUCAACUAUCACCUGAUUUGAAAGUGAGAUAACUUCUUCAUCCUAACUCCUAUAUUGAUUCAACUAUCACCUGAUUUGAAAGUGAGAUAACUUCUUCAUCCUAACUCCUAUAUUGAUUCAACUAUCACCUGAUUUGAAAGUGAGAUAACUUCUUCAUCCUAACUCCUAUAUUGAUUCAACUAUCACCUGAUUUGAAAGUGAGAUAACUUCUUCAUCCUAACUCCUAUAUUGAUUCAACUAUCACCUGAUUUGAAAGUGAGAUAACUUCUUCAUCCUAACUCCUAUAUUGAUUCAACUAUCACCUGAUUUGAAAGUGAGAUAACUUCUUCAUCCUAACUCCUAUAUUGAUUCAACUAUCACCUGAUUUGAAAGUGAGAUAACUUCUUCAUCCUAACUCCUAUAUUGAUUCAACUAUCACCUGAUUUGAAAGUGAGAUAACUUCUUCAUCCUAACUCCUAUAUUGAUUCAACUAUCACCUGAUUUGAAAGUGAGAUAACUUCUUCAUCCUAACUCCUAUAUUGAUUCAACUAUCACCUGAUUUGAAAGUGAGAUAACUUCUUCAUCCUAACUCCUAUAUUGAUUCAACUAUCACCUGAUUUGAAAGUGAGAUAACUUCUUCAUCCUAACUCCUAUAUUGAUUCAACUAUCACCUGAUUUGAAAGUGAGAUAACUUCUUCAUCCUAACUCCUAUAUUGAUUCAACUAUCACCUGAUUUGAAAGUGAGAUAACUUCUUCAUCCUAACUCCUAUAUUGAUUCAACUAUCACCUGAUUUGAAAGUGAGAUAACUUCUUCAUCCUAACUCCUAUAUUGAUUCAACUAUCACCUGAUUUGAAAGUGAGAUAACUUCUUCAUCCUAACUCCUAUAUUGAUUCAACUAUCACCUGAUUUGAAAGUGAGAUAACUUCUUCAUCCUAACUCCUAUAUUGAUUCAACUAUCACCUGAUUUGAAAGUGAGAUAACUUCUUCAUCCUAACUCCUAUAUUGAUUCAACUAUCACCUGAUUUGAAAGUGAGAUAACUUCUUCAUCCUAACUCCUAUAUUGAUUCAACUAUCACCUGAUUUGAAAGUGAGAUAACUUCUUCAUCCUAACUCCUAUAUUGAUUCAACUAUCACCUGAUUUGAAAGUGAGAUAACUUCUUCAUCCUAACUCCUAUAUUGAUUCAACUAUCACCUGAUUUGAAAGUGAGAUAACUUCUUCAUCCUAACUCCUAUAUUGAUUCAACUAUCACCUGAUUUGAAAGUGAGAUAACUUCUUCAUCCUAACUCCUAUAUUGAUUCAACUAUCACCUGAUUUGAAAGUGAGAUAACUUCUUCAUCCUAACUCCUAUAUUGAUUCAACUAUCACCUGAUUUGAAAGUGAGAUAACUUCUUCAUCCUAACUCCUAUAUUGAUUCAACUAUCACCUGAUUUGAAAGUGAGAUAACUUCUUCAUCCUAACUCCUAUAUUGAUUCAACUAUCACCUGAUUUGAAAGUGAGAUAACUUCUUCAUCCUAACUCCUAUAUUGAUUCAACUAUCACCUGAUUUGAAAGUGAGAUAACUUCUUCAUCCUAACUCCUAUAUUGAUUCAACUAUCACCUGAUUUGAAAGUGAGAUAACUUCUUCAUCCUAACUCCUAUAUUGAUUCAACUAUCACCUGAUUUGAAAGUGAGAUAACUUCUUCAUCCUAACUCCUAUAUUGAUUCAACUAUCACCUGAUUUGAAAGUGAGAUAACUUCUUCAUCCUAACUCCUAUAUUGAUUCAACUAUCACCUGAUUUGAAAGUGAGAUAACUUCUUCAUCCUAACUCCUAUAUUGAUUCAACUAUCACCUGAUUUGAAAGUGAGAUAACUUCUUCAUCCUAACUCCUAUAUUGAUUCAACUAUCACCUGAUUUGAAAGUGAGAUAACUUCUUCAUCCUAACUCCUAUAUUGAUUCAACUAUCACCUGAUUUGAAAGUGAGAUAACUUCUUCAUCCUAACUCCUAUAUUGAUUCAACUAUCACCUGAUUUGAAAGUGAGAUAACUUCUUCAUCCUAACUCCUAUAUUGAUUCAACUAUCACCUGAUUUGAAAGUGAGAUAACUUCUUCAUCCUAACUCCUAUAUUGAUUCAACUAUCACCUGAUUUGAAAGUGAGAUAACUUCUUCAUCCUAACUCCUAUAUUGAUUCAACUAUCACCUGAUUUGAAAGUGAGAUAACUUCUUCAUCCUAACUCCUAUAUUGAUUCAACUAUCACCUGAUUUGAAAGUGAGAUAACUUCUUCAUCCUAACUCCUAUAUUGAUUCAACUAUCACCUGAUUUGAAAGUGAGAUAACUUCUUCAUCCUAACUCCUAUAUUGAUUCAACUAUCACCUGAUUUGAAAGUGAGAUAACUUCUUCAUCCUAACUCCUAUAUUGAUUCAACUAUCACCUGAUUUGAAAGUGAGAUAACUUCUUCAUCCUAACUCCUAUAUUGAUUCAACUAUCACCUGAUUUGAAAGUGAGAUAACUUCUUCAUCCUAACUCCUAUAUUGAUUCAACUAUCACCUGAUUUGAAAGUGAGAUAACUUCUUCAUCCUAACUCCUAUAUUGAUUCAACUAUCACCUGAUUUGAAAGUGAGAUAACUUCUUCAUCCUAACUCCUAUAUUGAUUCAACUAUCACCUGAUUUGAAAGUGAGAUAACUUCUUCAUCCUAACUCCUAUAUUGAUUCAACUUCCUGGUGCUUCUCCACUACUUUAUGUAUCCAAAUCAAGCUUCUUACAUCGCGAUUUAUACUGGUUUGAUUAGAAUGACGAAGAAGUUGCCAUUUUUCCAAACAAGGAAACUGGGAUCACCUGAUUUGAAAGUGAGAUAACUUCUUCAUCCUAACUCCUAUAUUGAUUCAACUUCCUGGUGAUUCUCCACUACUUUAUGUAACCAAAUCAAGCUUUGUGCAUCACGAUUUAUCCUGGUUUGAUUAGAAUGACGAAGAAGUUGUCAUAUUCCCAAACUGGAAAACUGGGUUCACCUGAUUUGAAAGUGAGAUAACUUCUUCAUCCUAACUACUAUGAGAUUUAUUCAAAUUCCUGGUGAUUUUCUACUACUUAAUGUAUCCAAAUCAAGCUUGUACAUCUCGAUUCAUCCUAGUUUGAUUAGAAUGACGAAGAAGUUGUCAUAUUCUCAAACAAGAAAACUGGGUUCACCUGAUUUGAAAGUGGAACAACUUCUUCAUCCUAACUCCUAUGAAAUUUAUUCAACUUCAAGGUGAUUCUCCACUACUUUAUGUACCCAAAUCAAGCUUUGUUUAUCGCGAUUCAUCCUGGUUUGAUUAGAAUGACGAAGAAGUUGUUAUAUUCUCAAACAGGGAAACUGGGAUCACCUUAUUUGAAAGAGGGAUAAUUUCUUCAUCCUAACUCCUAUGACAUUUAUUCAACUUCCUGGUGAUUCUCCACUACUUUAUGUAUCCAGAUCAACCAUCUUACAUCGCGAUUUAUCCUGGUUUGAUUAGAAUGACGAAGAAGUUGUCAUAUUCCCAAAAAUGAAAAGUGGGUUCACCUGAUUUGAAAGUGAGAUAACUUCUUCAUCCUAAAUCCUAUGAGAUUUAUUCAACUUUCUGGUGAUUCUCAACUACUUAAUGUAUCCAAAUCAAGUUUUGUACAUCGCGAUUCAUCCUUGUUUUGAUUAGAAUGACGAAAAAGUUUUCAUAUUGCCAAACAGGAAAACUCGGAUCACCUGAUUUGAAAGUGGGAUAACUUAUUCAUCCUAACUGCUAUGAGAUUUAUUCAACUUCCUCGUGAUUCUCCACUACUUUAUGUAUCCAAAUCAAGCUUCUUACAUAGCGAUUUAACCUGGUUUAAUUAGAAUGACGAAGAAGU